AAAAAAAAAAAAAAAGUACAAAUAUUUUACAAUGAUGUAAACUAAUAGUAUUCAUUGGUCGGGUGGUGCUUCAGUAGUAGGCGGGGCUUCAGCAGUCGGCGGGGCCACAGAAGGAGGAGGCGGCAGAGGUUGAUCAGUUGGAGCUUCACUACGCGGUGCCGCUCCAGAAGACGAAGGCAGAUGCGGUUGGAACAAACCCACAAACCUCCGAUGAUCAAGUAAAAUUUGACCAUCGGUGUCCUGCAUCUGGUCAAUCUUUCUCUUCAUGCUGGUGGCAUAGUUGUGUGCAAGCUUGUGCAAUUGUUUAUUUUCAUGCUUGAGUCCUCUAAUCUCCUCUUUGAGACUCUGUAUUUCAGCCACCAACGAUUCAACGUGACGGGUUCGAGCAAAUAGGCGUUGGGCCAUGUUGGAUACAGAACCCGCACACUGCACGCUAAGAGCCAGAGACUCCUUAACCGCCAAUUCAUCAGACCGCCUAGCGAGCAGUCUGUUAUCUCUGGGGGUGACAAGGUUCCGGGCCACCACCGCAGCAGUCAUGUCAUUUUUCAUCACCGAAUCCCCCACGGUAAGAGGACCGGUAGGGGAUAUGAAGGAAGGGCGCCAUAUGUUGUCUGGUGAAGGCGGAGCUGCCUCUUCACGAAUGUUCAAGUCAAAACGUCGAUCAGAAGGGCCUGCCAUUUUCUGAAGGUGUUGAGAAAGAAGAGUCGGAUUGAUCAAGAUUAAACAAGUGCAAGAAGGGAGUGUUUACAGGAGGGAGCUCAAGUGUGUUGUGGAACAACAUUAACGCCUCUAUAAAAAGAAGCAAUCAAAGAGGCGCUCCUCAGAAAUCGAAGAGGCGGUCCUCUCGCAAAUCGAAGAGUCGGGGCUCCUUUCUCGAACGCCUGAUUCUUUUCUCAAAAGAGGAGUCUCCAUUCUCAAAAGCCGGAUUCUUUUCUCAAUUGAGGCGUUUAAUUUCUUAAAAGCUGGGCUUCAACCCACGGGCAAAUCUUCUUUUCCAGAUUUAUCCGCACGUGUCACAUGCUACCUCUACAAUCGACGAUGCCCAGAGCUCGAAGCGCCGAUUCCAGAUAUCAAUGAGGAAUCUGCUUUGCGGAAAUUACGGGCAGCUUUGUCAGAAAGCGCGUAAUUUGUACUAUUCAUCCAUCCACUGGCUGCCGACAAUGAGUGAGAGAACAGUUCCGGUUGUGAAGAAAAGCCCUAUAAGUAUCUACCUUCGCCUUCCACAGCAAAACACACCCUCUCCGCACUUCUUCAUCUCCGAAAAUGCAUUCCCAAAGAAUCCUCCUAAGUUACUCUGUGUUCCUCAUUCCUUGGGAUACUCCUGAAAACAACCCAUUCAAAGCAAAAGUAUUUCAUAUCAUGAAGGUUGAAAGCAAGAGUAUCUCAUAUCAUGCUUUCUCCCUGUCCUUUCUCCAGCCAGCACUUGCUCUCGAGUACUCAUCAUCUUGUGUUUCCUCUUCGUCUCUUACGUAUAAGGGAAGUGAAGAUGAUACCUCGAAGCAUGUGGAGACAACGUGCUGAUUCAUCCUCAGCUAGGGACAAGGAGAAAGAGAGCAAAGAGGUGGGCACUUUGGAAAGAUUGAAGAAAGAAACAGACCAAUACCUCUACCUCGUGCCUGCCCGCCAUGCAGAGGAAACAAGCAGAGAAGAAUGCAGCUUGCGCAAUCAUCCCAGCGGAAGGAGUCUGAGAUGAAGAACAAAAGAAGCUGCCACAUCUGCUUGGAGAACAAAUAAGGAACUGCAACAUUCCCAAAGAGCAAAGCCUUGCAGUACAAUAGCAUAAAAUCAUCACUUGCAAGUGAAAAGCUAAGUGUCACCCUGUUCAAGAGGAAAGUUGUGGAAAGUCAACAAGCACGACCAAUGAUUACUUAUUAGUUUUAUUCAUUAUCUUUUAUCGUAAUUUUCAAUUUUUCGUUUGCAAUUUUUUUUAAUUAAUUUUCUUGCGUACUUAACUGAAUUUUUCCUUUUCUUUGCAGGAACUUUUUGGUUAUUUCCACCCUUGAAGUUGAUUGCAGAAUUUUAGCUUGGGGGUCAUCGCUUGAUUUUACUGCAAAUUAGGGAAGUUUUCAGUCCAAUUGUUUUAUUUUGUUUCUUAUUAUUUAUUUAUUUUAUUUUUAUUUGCAUUAUAGUGUUUUCUGACAUUGGGGACAAUGUCAAGUUUAAGUGUGGGGGUAGAAAUCUCCAGAAUUUCAUUUGUCUCUGUGUUGUUUUUUUUUUUUUGUGUUCUUAAUUAGUUUUGUUUUCUUUUAAAAAAAAAAAUUAAAAAAAACUGUGUUGUUGUUUUUUGUGUUCUUAAUUAGUUUUGUUUUCUUUUAAAAAAAUUUUAAAUUAAAAAAAUUUCGGAAAAUUUAAAAAUCCAAAAAUAUUGUCUUGUUUCCCUUAUUGUUUUGAAUUAUAUUUUUGUUAGUUUCCCGACCCAAUGAUAUAAUUAGAUCAAAUUUGAAUCACGAUUAUCAAGAACUUAGUUAACAUGUGUUUUAUGAAAUUCCUAAUUCUCUUGUUAGUUUUGUACAUGUUUGACCAUCUUUGAAAAACCAAAUGCACAUAGCCUUGUUAAUGUGAAACUAAAGUAUGACUUAAAGCUUCAUAUGUGAAUUUAGUGACCAUAUACAUCCUAUGUGAGUUUUUGAGCCGAUUGAAAGUGUGUGCAUUUUUCAUACACUCCUAUUCUUUCAUGUGUGAUGAACUUAUGUGAGAUACAUCUCUAGAACUUGCGUAACGAUCUUUCGAAAUGUUUGUCAUUGAUUGCAUGAACUUGGAAAUGAUAGAGGCAUUAGGUUUACCACUAUGGCCCAAAUAACCAUGUUUCCCAAAGAAAAAUGAUAUCAUUAGUUUGCCAAUUUGAGCCGUGUUUGUGGAGCCUUUUAUUUCUUAUCACCAGAUAUGUCUACCCUUAUACCUGAAACAUUUUUCCUUACCCUUUCCAAGCGAGCAAUGCGAGAUUGUCUUAUGAGAAACGUUUGUGAAAUACUGUGAAGAUGUUUGGCAAAAGAAUAAGUGUGGGGGUAUUUCAUGUUUGUGAAUUAAAAAAAAAAAAAAAAAAAAAAAAAAAAAAAAAAAAAGAAAGAAAAGAAAAAGAAAAGAUAAAGAUUGUAUAAAAAGAAAAUAAAAAGUUUUUAAAGUUUCAGUUAAGGGUGUGGUUGGAGGUGUUAGAAGAAUCGUUGGAGAGCUUGAGUUUUUAUGAAUCUAAAGAAAAGAAUUGCUUGCAAUGUAGCUUGGAACUUGUGUUUUCCUAUUCUUUCAUUUCAAUAACCCUCUCCCUAAACCUCAUUACAUCCAAUAAAAGUCCUCUUGAUUUAAGUUUUGCAAUUAUGAUUGUGGAGAUGAGAUCUUUAUGCAAGCUUAUAGUAGAAAUUUCACAUUUGAUUCUUUGAGCGAAACACAUUAAAACUAAACACAUGUGUGAUUGAGUGCAUAUCCCGUGAGAAGUUCGCUAGUUUGCAUAUGAUGAUUUUAAAAAUAAAAACUUGAAAUUGCAUUAGCAUGGCUAUCUCACACACUACACUUCAAGGAUGAUUCAAAGAUUACUGCUAAUAUUUGAAUAAGGAAAAUGAACUUGGAUUAGUUUGUUUGGUGCUAGCUAUGGUUCUUGAUGAUUUGUUUUCUCGAAUGAAAUUCUAUGAGAGUCACAUAGGGGGAAACUAAUGUUUUUCAUGUUAUUACUUUUCAUGUUUUCUUUGUUUUGCUCGAGGACUAGCAAAAGUUAAGUGUGGGGGUAUUUGAUCGGAUCAUAUUUAUAUAUAUUUUUACUUCAAAUUUACCCGUCUUUUCUUAGUUAGUUCUUUAUAUUUUUGAGCUAUUUACGUUAUUUUUGUGUUUAUAGGAUUUGUUUAUGCAAAGAAAAUAAAAAUAGAACAAGUGAAGUUUUAUGUAAUAAAUUCGUCAAAAGCAAAUUUAAAUUACAAUAUUGAUGACCCAUUGUGACGCUAAAUGAUAAACCAAUAUUUAAACUAUAUAUUUCAUCCUUUUUUAUUUCUUUUCUUGUCUAAUUUAGUUGGAAGCUUUAAGUAUUUAUGAUACUUUUGAUAUAUUGUGUUUGUAGGAGUAACAUGAUCGAAUAUAGUGAAAAAGUAUGCAAAGAUGGAAUUUUUCAGUGAUUCCUUUCUAAGGACAUCUCACUGUUGAUUAAUGGCCAACUUGCUAGAUGGAAAUCAUUGAAUGCAUACAUCGUGUCUCAUCUUAAAUUAGUUUCUCAACUUUGUGGUACCAAAAGGACUUAUUUUUCUGCUAAGUGGGGCGACAAAAGGGAGCAGAAAAUAAAGAAAAGACUGAAUAAAAACAGCAGGAUAGAAAAGAGAGAGAGACGGCAGACUGUAAAGAAAAAGUGAGGAGCAAAAGGAAGUGGGAGUGGUGCGCAGAAACGGAAAUUUAAUAAAAAAAAGGAGGAUCAGAUUUAAUAAAAAGCGGGGAGCACAGCGCGCCAGGCAAGUCAGAGGGGCAUGUUAUGUAGGAGCACGGGGAGAGAAGUGGGAGACAGCUACGGGAGGACACGGAUUGGAAGGAAUACAAAAUUAAAAGCUGUCUGAGUAGUUGGGGGAGUUAGGCGGGAUAGAAGGGAAAUAAGAAGGGAGAGACGCAAGGAUUGGGGGGAAUUUGGUGGAAGGCAGAGGGCUGCCCUUUGGGCAGCGUGAAGCUGUGGAGAGAAGGGAAGGGGGAAACUGCCCUUUGGCAGCGAGGUCAAACAGCACAGGAAAACAGAAAGAAGGAGGGCAGCUCGCAGACGUAGAGAGGACAGGAGGUCAGCAUGAAAAUGCAGUUCAGAGUCCAAGCAGCAGAUCCUUUCUUUCGGUUUAAUCUUUCCAAACUCCUAUUUUAUUUCUGUUUUUAAUAAUGUGUAAUUAAAUUUAUGUUGGUUAGAGGUUAAUUCGAAACCAUGAAUAUAUUUGUAAUAUGAAUUGAUUACCUUCAGUUGUGAGUUAUAAGUUGUGAAUUCAAUUUACUUAUCCGUUCGUAUAAAAACUGAUUUGUGUAUGUUGGUUGAGAGUGCACGCUUAAUUUACAUGCAUGAAUUGAUGCUAGAAUAUAAGUGAAUUUCACCUAAUCGUUAUGAACUUAUUUUCACAAGUAGUAAAGGUUGCUAGUCACAAUCACGUUAAGUAAAUUCUUGGCAAGAGUAUCAUGCUUUUCAUAGUUACGAAUGCCUCGUCAAUGCUUAUAGUUUUCACAAAGUUUAAUGAUCUUUGAUUGUAUCUCUAUUGUGCUUUUCACGUAGGGGACUUUUGAAGAAUGUUUUGAAUUGUUGUAUGCGUUUUUCCCGUCCAAUUCAAUAACUUAAGGAAAACUUGAAGAUUAAAAAAAGUGCUGUUCACGGUUAAUCUGGAGUAUUGAGAUUCACAAUUUAUUAAAUGAACAACUGGAAAUCAUUUUGUAUGCAAGUAUAACAUGUGUGGAGAAGAACCAUCUAGCUAGUCCGUCAUUUAUCAUUUUACCUUAAUUUUAUGUUUUUGUCAAUUCUGUAAUUUAAUUAAGUUUAAUUUACUUUUCAUCAAAACCAAACACCCAUCCAUUAUUAAAUUAUUUUAUUUAUUUAGUUUUCUUUAUUGUUAGUCUUUUAAUUUAAUUUCCGUCCAUUUCAGUUCCUAGUGUUUAAUUUAAUUGUUUUCAUUAUUUUGAGUCAUUCUAAGUGUGUUUCGAGUUAUUAGAGUUUUUAGCCUAAUUUUGUGUCUUUGAGUCUUGUUUAAUAUUUUUAAAUUAAUUUAGAAUAGAUUAGCAAUCCCUCCUAAUCCCCGGCCUAGAACGAUACCCUACUUACAUCUAUACUACAAUUGUCAAAAAGAGGGUUUAAUUUGUGUGUUAACUUAUUCUCACAUCAGCAACACAUCGAGCCCGAGUUCCAAUCCUAUUCGGACUAGGUCUCCUUCUCCGGAUUAACAUCCCCUCGAUCAGUCCUAUCUCCGCUAGGACUACAAAUCUAGUCCUUAACUGAGCCGGAUUCGCUUUCUAGGUUAUUGACCCCGUCGAGAGUCCCUAUUGCACUAGGAUUCGACCUCUUGCGUUAUGACCUAGCCGACCUGGGUUUGGAGGCCCACAUACUGAACAAUCCGUGAUAUUCUUGCCGCAAGGCCUCCAGGGCCGAGAAUGACCCUACACUCGGCCCAAAUUGUUAUUUUGGGCCCAAACACUAAUAUAACAUCUAAUUUAACAAACUUUAUCGUAUGACAUAAAAAAAAAAAAUCAAUUGUACGUCUCAUGAUAUUUUUCUUCACUUAUAAGACGUCUCAGCCCUUAGGUUUGAUUCACAUGACGUAUUAUAUUUGUGUGUGUUGAGUUCGAUACUAGUCAGUACAUUAAAUCAUUUUUAUAAAAACAAAAAUAAAAAAAGGGUUGGUUAAGAACUCCUAAACUACACAUAUGGUUUUGAUAAGUCCAUAUCAGCUCAUCACAUCCGUUCAUUUUUAAGAUAAGAAAAUGAAAGGGUGGGAUUAAAUUUUAUUUGGGGCAUGCGCACUUGUAACGUGUGCGUCCAUAUAGCGAAUGGGUCCUAAAAGAGUUACAAUCUUUGAUACAAUAUAACCUUGUUUAAUGGGUGUCGAAUGUGAAUUUCAUUGUGCAUGUCAAGCAAUCAAUCACCAAUCAUAAACAUGCAGAAAUAAAGGUUGGACUGAAAAGAGUCAAAAUAAUGCCAGCUCAAACUGACUCAACAUUCAACCACGGUGCCAACCUACGACCAUCAUGCCUAUAACUACGGAUCAUUUCUUUUUAUUUAUCGAAAAUAUUAUUCUUAUUAUCUAUUUGUAUAAUCUUUUUAAUAAAAAUGAAAUUCAUAUACAUCGGUAUGUUCCUCUUAGAUUAGAGAAUCACAAAGAUAAUAAUAUGAAUAGGUAGCAAGUAUAGCAUUACCCCUUAUUUAUAUCAUUCAUUUUAUUUCCAUACUGAAUAGCCGCGUAAAAAUUAAUUAAUUAAUUAAUCAAUAUAGUAAUCCAUGUUAAUACAGUAAAACCAUUUUGAUUCAGUGAAACCAUAAAAUUCAAAUUUGUGGAGAUUUUGGAUGUUUUCCUUUCCAAUUGUUACUUUGUAUGGUAAAACAAUUUAAGAAAGAAAAAUCACAGUAAAUAUGAAUUCUAUAUUUCACUUUCGCGAGAAGAUAAGCAUGCCAACGUAUUUCCUACCAAAAAGGUAUUUUAAUAUUUUUCUCAGGGAAGAAUAAUCAACACCGUAAUAAUACAAAAACGUGUGUAAUAAUAUUAUGCACCGCAAUAUUUUUCUUGAUCCAGCUGUCGACAUGUAGAGCGCACGUGUAAGACGACAACUGACGUGUACACCCCGACGCACCGUACCAUGUCGGCUAUUGACCCGUCGAACGUACUCGGAUCCCUAGGGAGAAUCCGACCCAGACCGACUCACACACCCGUCCAAAAGAGGUGGCGUAAGCAGUGACAACAUCGCACCUCCAUAAGUUUCUAUUGCCACGACGCACCGCACUUCCAUGGCUGACACGUGUCCGACUGCGGUCAGCAAAACGCCCCCAAAAACCAGUCCGCACGGACUGCCCAAGAAACGUUAUCGCCCACGUGUCCCUCCCUUCCCCUCCCCCUCUUCAUAUAUAUUCAGUUCUCCCCCUUACGUUUCAAGUUUCAAGUGCCGACUAGCUUGCUUCGCACAGAGGGCGAGUGAAAUAACGACUGCGAGAUAGAGAGAGUGCAAACGACACCCAUUGAAAUGUCGUCCGCCGAUUUACAGCUUCCACCGGGGUUCAGGUUCCACCCGACGGACGAGGAGCUGGUGAGACACUACCUCUGCCGGAAAUGCGCGUCGCAGCCGAUAUCAGUUCCGAUCAUUGCCGAAAUCGAUCUCUACAAAUACGACCCCUGGGAGCUCCCAGGUAGUUUUCCCUAAAUUCUAGCCAUUUUUUUCAAUUGUUUUUUAGUUUUCAGGGAAAUCGAUUUUUUUUAAUAUUAUUUAUUUACUCAAAAGUAAUUUUUGUGUUGCAGGCUUGGCGUUGUACGGGGAAAAGGAGUGGUAUUUCUUUUCGCCAAGGGAUCGGAAGUACCCGAACGGUUCGAGGCCGAACCGGGCGGCCGGAAGCGGCUACUGGAAGGCGACCGGGGCCGAUAAGCCGAUUGGGCACCCGAAACCUGUGGGGAUUAAGAAAGCUCUGGUGUUCUAUGCUGGAAAAGCCCCUCGCGGCGAAAAGACCAACUGGAUUAUGCACGAAUACCGCCUCGCCGACGUUGACCGCUCGCCGAGGAAGAAGAACAGCCUCAGGGUAUACUCGCUAUUCUCUCUCUCUCUCUCUUUUUCGACGAUGGGGGUUGGGGUAAAAUCGUAAAUUCCUAACUUCGUUGCAUGACGAUGACGAUGACGGUUCGCUUGACACGACGUCGUUCAAAUCGUAUUUUGACCUAAAUAAUAUUCCCCAAAUCCGAAUGUCUUUCAAUGAAUUGGCGGCCAUAAAAAAGGACGGUGGAUAUUGAGCCUAAUUUAGAUCAACGGUGUGACCAAGAUUUCCAAUUUUGGAACUUUAUUGUGACGCUGACGGAGGCGUAUUGGCGGUAACUAAAAGAUAAGACUGAUAUUAAUAGGGGGAUUCUAUUUGUGGUUAGGAUUGAUUUAAUUUGGUUAAUUAACUUAAUUUAAUGAAUUAGCAAGUUGAUUAACAAUUGUUUUCGAUAUUGAUGGACGGUCUGAUUUUACAGCUGGAUGAUUGGGUUCUGUGCCGAAUAUACAACAAGAAGGGGACCGUGGAGAACCAGCAGCCUCAGCAGCAGCAAGAACAACAGCGAACGACUAGUCGUAACGCGAGCAGUGGCUCGGAGUUCGAGGACAGGAAGCCGGAUAAUCUGAGGUGCCCGCCGCCGCCGGCUUCCGUGGUCCCCAGUCGUCACGUGAGCGAUUACGUGUACUUCGACAACUCUGACUCGGUGCCGAAGCUGCACACGGACUCGAGCUGCUCGGAGCAGGUGGUGUCGCCGGAGUUGGCGUGCGAGGUGCAGAGCGAGCCCAAGUGGAAGGAGUGGGAGAAGGCGCUGGAAAUGCCGUACAGUUACAUGGAUACGACGGUGGAGAACGGGUUCGGAGCGCAGUUCCAGAGCGGGAAUGAGAUGUCGCCGCUGCAGGAUAUCUUUAUGUACCUGCAGAAGCCGUACUGAUUUGGUUAAAGCAUAUUUAGAGUCGGUGCAUGGGACGGCAACAGGAGACGGAAGUCGAUGAGAGUGCGUUUGUGCGUCGACGGAUCUGGAAAGGGGAAAUGGGAAUGGGAAUGGGAAUGGGAUUGGGAUUGGGAAUUCAGUUGUGGAGUCCUGCAUUUUGGGGUCCAAGAGUGAAUUAGGAGGUUCGAGUACUAAAAUAUGUACAAGAUGUGUAUAUAUAGGUUAUAUAUAUCGUUCACAUGGUCUAAUAUUUGUUUGUAAUUCAGUUCAUGGUGGUAGUAGUGAAUAAUAUGUUUUUGUGUUUCUAUCGUCUACUUAAUUAGUGAUAUUCGUAGUUUUUUUUUCAGUAAAAGAAUUGUAUUAUUAACUCGAAUACUGUCGUUGGUUAAUUUAAUCUCAAAUUUAAUAAAAUCUAUCAUUUGACAGCACAAAAAAUACGAACAGAAGCAUUUGUAACUUAUGCUAGAACAUUAUAUUAAAAAUACAUUCAGGUCAUAUUUCAUCUCAAAUCAACUUUCGUUCAACCAAAUCUUCCGCCAUGAACGCACGCAGUAUGGACUAAAUUAGUGAUAUUCAAAGGUAGAAGGUUGUAAAUUUAGGUUGUGGUCUUUGAAAAAAGGUGGAUGGCAAUGACUUGAAUUUGUGUAUAUGUUGACUCACCAACUUUCCAAUUCUUGGAUUCAUCUAAUCGACAAGCUUUAAGUUCUGGUGUUUUGGGUCAUAUCACAAUACCAGUGGCAAGUAAACAAGUGAAAUUUCACCUUCUAUCUUCAUAAAACAAAGAGAUAUAAACACGUGAGAUUUAAAAAAAAGAUGAAUUUUAUAUAUUUAUCACUUUUAUCUACAACGUUAUAAUCUCAGAGCAUUGUAGUCAUGUUCACAUUGUGUGGAAUAAUGGACACAUAAAGAUGGUCUAAUCAUUUCAAGAUACAUUAUUAGGAAAAUUAUUUCAAGAUGCAAGCGAAUCAUACAAACAUUUUCCUGAUGUAGCAAAGUUGUCGUCAUUCAUACUUGGUUCUCUAUAAAUGUGGUGAGACACCUAUAACAAACAAGUCUUAUCACAUUAAGUUAGGUUGACUAUAUAAAUCAUAGAACGACAUUGCGCUCAUUUCUGCUUAAGUUUUCUGUUAACUCCAAGUACUUCAUAUUUUUUCUUAUUGUCUCUUUCAAAGUCUUCAUAUGUCUUUCUCUAUCCUUUUUGCCCUGAGCUUUCGUAUCAUAGUCGCAUCUUCUAACCAGAGCAUCACUAAGUCUUCAGUUCUCUUGUCCAAUAUAUAUCGAUUUUCUCUUAUCUUAUCUUCAAUUGCGACCACUCUUAUUUUACCUCGGAUAUCCUCGUUCUUAUUAACACUAAUCGAGAAGAAGAAGAAAUACAUAAAUGUUGCAGACAUUUUUCAAGAGAGAAAUAAACUGAGUAAUAUGUGUAUAUUGCAGAGAAUGAAUUGAUACAACUAACAGAGAGAUAUUCUCUAUUUAUACAUGCUUCAUGCUUCAGUAGUAAGAUUCUAACAAACUAAUAACCACCUUAUCACUUCCUACAAUCCUAACUGUCAAUUUAACCAACUCUUGCUGAUGUGGACCUUAUUGAUGUGUUUAUCAGUCAACAUCCCCCCUCAAUCUCAACUGGGUUACCAAGCUUGAGACUGAAAGAAUGCUUGAGAAACGAUGGACUAUGCAAUCCCUUAGUUAAGAUAUCAGUAGUUUAGUAUUCAGUUGAUAAGUACUGAACUUGGAGAUCUCCUUUUUGAACCUUCUCCCUUACAAAAUGAUAAUAUGUAUCUAAGUGCUUAAUCCUGGAGUGAAAUACUGGAUUUGCACUUAGAGCAAUGACAAAUUUGUUGUCACAAUAGAUCACAGGCACAUAAUUCAACACCACAACCAUAUCUUUUAAAACAUUUCAUAUCCAAGCUAUAUCAGCUGCUGUAUGAGCUAAGACCUUAUACUUAGCUUCUGUAGAGCUUCUUGACACUGAGUCUUGUUUCUUCGAUUGCCAAGAAACUGGAUUGCUUCCAAUGUAGACUGCAUAUCCAGUGACAUACCUCCUUGUAUUUAAGUCAACAUCCUAAUUUGCAUCACUAAAAGCAUUAAUCCCAACUUCUGUAUUAGUUGAAAAUGUAAUCCCUUGCUGCAUUGUUCUUUUUAAAAAUCGUAAUAUCCUUUUUACUGCCCCAAAAUGAACCUCAGUUGGUUUAGCCAUGAAUUGACUCAUAAUAUUCACUGCAUAUGUAAUAUCUGGCCUAGUAAAGGUUAGAUAUUGCAAUGAUCCAAUAAUGCUCCUAUAUAAACUUGGAUCUGAUAAUGCUUCUCCUUGAGGUUUACAUGGUGUUGAUCCUGGUUUACAUGUGUUCAUACCAGUUUUGUGAAGAAGGUCUUUAACAUAUUUAGACCGAUUCACACAAAUAUCUCAAUUUGACUUGUAAUUGAUCUGCAAACCAAGGAAAUAUGUUAACCUGCCCAUAUCUUUGAGCUCAAACACCUCAGAUAGUUCUGUGAUAAUCUUUUGAACUUGACUGGAAUUAGACCCAGUAAUAAUAAUGUCAUUUACAUAGAGAAGUAGUAUGACAAUAUCACUCUCACACUAUUUGACAAAUAGACUAGAAUUUGAGGUUGAAGAUUUAAAACCCACUGCAGGUAGAUAACUCGUGAACUUAGAAUUCCAAGCUCUUGGGGAAUGUUUAAGACCAUAUAGAGACUUAAUCAGUUUGCUGACAUGUGUUGGCUUAGUCAUAUCCACAAAACCUUGAGGUUGUUUCAUGUAAAUGUCAUCUUGCAAUUCACCAUGCAAGAAUGCAUUUUUGAUAUCAAGCUAUCUCAAAUCCCAAUGGUUAAUAACAGCCAAUGCCAAAACAAUUAUAAUUGUGGUAUGUAUCACCAUUGGAAUAAAGAUUUCUAAAUAAUCAACACCUUGCUCCUGUGAAAAACCUUGUGCCACCAGCCUUGCUUUGUACCUUGACACUGUGCCAUCUGGAUUCUUUUUUAUUUUGUACACCUAUUUGCUGCCAAUAAUAGCCCAAUCAUCAAGUGUGGAACUAAUUCCCAAGUUCCUUGAGCCUUAAGAGAAUCAUACUCUUCUUGCAUUACACUUUGCCAUUGUGGCAUUGUAGCAACUUUCCUGAAUGUUGAUGGCUUAGCAGCAUCACUAUUAACAACCAAAACUGAAAAACCUCCAUCAAAGGUAGUAUCUUCUGUUAAUUGAAGUGACUGAAGUUCAGGCAAGGUGGCUAAAUAUCCCUUAUAACUCCUAUGUGGUAUUGUGCCACUCUUUAAUCUAGUGAUCAUUGGAUGAACAGAAGUAUUACUUAAUUCACCAAGGUUAGAUGAUAUAGAACAAGAUAAGGGUAGAAUUACCUCAAGUUGUGUGUCAUUGUGGGCAGACAACAUUUGUGAUACACCAUAGGAGUUAGGAGUGAUAGGAUGAGGAUCUUGAGUUGAUGAAGUACCCUGUGACAGUAGAGAAUGGUCUGAAAUAGAAGAUGAAGUCAAUGGGUCCAAUCUACUUGCAGAAUGAUCAUUAUUGUCAGACACAGAUAGGGACAUAUCAUGUGCAACCUCACUGCGAUUAUCCCUAUGCAUAUCUGGAGUUUCUAUAAUAUUCUGGAUAGGAACUUGAACAACAAUAGGUCUUUGAUUACUACAUGAAACCUGUGACCUUUACUUAACUUGGUACUAACCAGAACUUUAUAAGGAAACACUGAUUCAUCAUGAAUGACAUGCCUUGAUAAUUAAUAUUGUAGCAUACAACCCCUUUAUACCCCAGAGCAUAACCAAGGAAAACACACUGAACAGAUCUUGCUUGUAAUUUAUUUGCAUUAUAAGGCCUGAGAAAUGGAUACACAGCUGUCCUAAACACUUUUAAAUGUUGUAUAUCAGGGAUCUUACCAAAUAGCAUCUGAUAUGGAGACUGCAUGUGUAGUACUUUGCUUGGCAUUCUAUUAAUAAAAAAAGUAGCAUAUGAACAAGCAUGAAACCAGAAGGAUGAGGACAGAUUUGCUUCGGACAUUAAAGUCAAUGCAGUCUCUAUCAAAUGUCAAUUUCUUCGCAGAAAUAUCAUUAUGUUGAGGAGUAUAUGGACAUGAUAUUCUGUGAACAAUCCCUUUUGAUUCUAGAAAUUUGACAAACACCUUACUCAUAUAUUCCCCUCCUCCAUCAGUUUGCAAACGUUUAAUCUAAUUUUGAAUACUCAUCAAUAAAAUUGAUGUAAUAUCUAUGUCCUUCAAUUAAUAUCUUUGAAGAAUGCCCCUAUAAAUAUGAAUGUACUCUUUCAAACAUAAAAGUAGCACUACUUUGUUUUACAGGAAAAGACUGCCUACACAUUUUACUUGACACGCAUGAGAUACAUAUAGACUGAGAAGAAUCUAUACUAACUGGUACUUGAGCUGCUUUUAACAUAGCUGUCAAUACUUCUUCAGACGGAAUGCCAAGCCUUUUAUGCCAAAUUGCAGUCUUUAUCUUCUUUCCUACAAACCCAACUGUCAUAACUUUCGGCUUCUCCUUUUCAGAACAUGAUCUUGAAAACACUGUCACAGGUAUUGUGAAGAGAUCCCCAUUACUCAUUCCUUAAUAAAGUAUCACAUUGGUUGCCUUGUCCUGUAUAAAAAACAUAGUAUCAUCACAUGUAAACCAACAGCUAUUAUCAUGACACAAUUUCUUUAUUGAUAAGAGAUUCAUAAUAAUAUGUGGCAUAUGUAAAACAUUUUUCAAAUAUAAGUAAUCAUCUGGAGUAAUGAGUUUCGCGAAACCAAUAUGUUCACAUCCAAACCUUGACCAUUUCCAAUGAUUAUCUUCUCAUCACCAUUGUAUGUAGUGACUUGAUUCAUAUUGUUGAGAUUUGCUGUCAUGUGGUGUAUAGCUCCAGUGUUGAGAACCCAUGUGUCAGCAGUAGAGAAUCCAUGUGGUUGUGUCUCAUUUGUUAUUGAAGAAAAGCUUUGUUGACCUUGUGCAGACAUUGCAGUGAUUGUUGGAGGUGGUGGAGCCCUUUGAUAAGCAUAAUUGUUCCUAUGAAAACACUCCAAUGCAUUGUGUCAUUUCUUUCCACAUAUCUGGCACACCAAAAUUUGAUACUGACUAGCAUUAUUCGUACUCCUGAAAUGACAAUUAGUUGCAGUGUGACCUCUCAUCGAGCAUAUUUGACAUUCACGUGUAAUUGAUGAUCUGAAAUUGGUAUUCUCAUUCCAACUCUGCCAGCUUGAACCAUUCUUUGAUCCACCAUUAGAUGACUAAGCAUUGAAGCCUGACUAUGAACUGUUAUCUUGAUCAGAAAAUCCACCAUUAAAUCCCUUAUUCUUGUUACCAAAGUAUAGUUUUGAUCCCCUAUUAGAAUUAAAUGACCCUCGAUUCUGGAAAGGCCUUUGAUUGCUGCCAAUGAACUCAUGCCCUCCUUGAUAGCCAUUAGACCCCAUAUUGGAACUUUCACCUUCUUGAUAACCAUUAGCCCACAUGGUAGAGCUUUCACCAUGAUACCUGCCAUUUGCUUGAUAAGAUCCAGUAUGUCCAUUACUAUUAUCACCAUUCAUAUACAUUGCAGACAUUGAACCUGUGAGGGAUGAGAGUCUUGAUUUUAUGGUAAGUUCAACACUCAGAAGUUGUGCAGGAAAAUCUUUUAAAGAAAUGGGUGUCUCUCUUGCCAAUAUCACGAUUUUGAUCAUAUCAAACUCCUGUGGUAAUCCAUUUAGAACAGCAAUAAUGAGAUCAUUUUCUGAAACCCUUUCUCUAGCAGAAAUCAAUUGAUCUCUUAUAGUUUUCAAUUUCAACAAAAACUUGUCAAUCGAAUCCCCUCAUUUUUGUGCCAUGUGAAACUCAGUCUUGAGUGAUUAAUUCUUGACAUUGAGACCGAUGCAUAACGAUCUUGUAAGCACUCCAAGCUUACUGUGAUGUUUUACAGCCAAUAACAUGCUCCAUUGCAUCAUCAGAUAAGGUAGCAAUAAGCAAAUUAAGUAAAGCCAUAUCCUUUUUCACCCAAUUCUUAUAAGCAGCAAUUAUCUCCUUUGUCACACCUGAUUCAGUAUGUAUGACAUAUUUAGAUGGACAUGGAUUGUCACCCGUAAAGAAAUCUAGCAAAUCAUAACCACGCAAAAUCGAUUGAAAUUGAAAAUUCCACUUAACAAAAUUAUCAUCUUGCAACUUCAUAGUAAGCAUUCCCAAACGACUUUCGAUCUUCAUAGAUUCUAUAGUAUUCUCAAACAUGUUAACAAUUCUCUCAAGAACUCUUCUUUUUCCAAUCAAGAUUUCAAGAAACUAGCAAUGUAAACUACCCUCUUUGGCAAUUGGCCUUUAACAGAGGAAAUAUAGCAGAAAACUUCAAGAUUCAAUCACUCCUGUAAUUGGCCUUUGAGGAGGAAAGAAUUCACAAAUAAGGAAUAAUAUGGCAAUCGGCCUUUGUAAACAUUCACAACAUCGAACAACUACAACUGGCUAUUAGCCUUGUAUACAACAUAGAAAGGAUGAGAAAAGAAAUUCACUGACACAAAUUAUCAAACACCUAGAGCGCAUAGAUCUUCAUCACCAACAAAACUCCAUAGACAAGUAUCGAAGACUCCCAAGAAUAGCAAAACGUCAUCAACCUUACAUAGAGAUCAGCUACCCUUCAGAGAUACUACAACGGUAGUCAAAUGAUCAUUCAUGGAGAUGAUACCAUAUUAACACAAAUCGAAGAAGAAGAAGAAAUAUAUAAAUGUUGCAGAGAGUUUUCAAGAGAGAAAGAAACUGAGUAAUAUGUGUAUAUUGCAGAGAUUGAAUUGAUACAACUAAGAGAGAGAUAUUCUCUAUUUAUACAUGCUUCAUGCUUCAGUAGUAAGAUUCUAACAAACUAAUAACCACCUUAUCACUUCCUACAAUCCUAACUGUCAAUUUAACCAACUUUCAUUGAUGUGGAUAACAACCUUGUUGAUGUGGACCUUACUGAUGUGUAUAUUAGUCACCAGUUCUUAAUCCUACAUUUUCUCAUAUGCCCACACAUUCAACAAAUCUCGUGUGCCUACACAUUUAACGAUACAUUCUCAUCUCUGCUACACUAAUUUUUGCACGUGUUGCUGAAGGAAAUUUUGUGAAAAACAUGUUCAUUUGAGCAACAUCUAUAUAGCAUGCAAUUAACAAUUAAAGGCGGAAUCAUGCUUGUAUGCACUCAAAAACAAAACAUUACCCAUGAAAUUCAAAGCCUAGUAGUUAGGUGAACCAAGACUCAACUAAAAACAAAGUGAGUUGAGAAAUUUAUACCUUUGUUGAUUCCUCUUUGCAUAAGCAAAGGAUAAUCACCCAAGAGAUAGGGCCUUCAUUCUUUGCUUCUUAUCUCCAUGGAUUUGGAUGGAAGAAUUGGUUUCUCCAAUUUCUCAAAGUUGAAAACCUCUAAGUCUCCACACCAAGGAAAUUGAUGAAGAAAUGAGUGACCUAGAGGAAGAAAGAUUGCUAGCUAAAUUCCUCUAGGGUGGCCGGCCUCUUAGAGAGAUAAGAGAGCUUGUGUUCUCAUCUUUUCUCCAAAAGAAACCCUAAUGAAGAAAUAGCUAUAAAGUCAUAUUUAUAUCUACCUUCAUUGGAGUGACAAACUUGUAAUAAGUCCAAAACCUACUCCUUUAUCUAUAUGGCCGGCCAUAGGGUUUUAUUGGGCUAUUUGGGCCUUUGUGAAUUAUUAGUCAUUAAGUUGGCAUACAACUUAAGUCAAUGGGCUUGACGUUUGAAGCCCAUUGGGCCUUGAGGCCCAAAACUAACCCGAGGUCUUUAACGAACUUUAUUCAUUUGAUUAAUUAACAUAUUAAUUAAUCCUUGCCAUAAAUAAUUAAACCAUUUAAUUAUCCAAACCAUUUAAUUAUCCUUACACGGUGUACGAUCCAUUAGGUUCCUUUUAGCGAGGCAGUGGGCGAUUAGAACUCUUUCAAAUCGAUUGUGAAUUGAAACUUACUUUCAAUUCUCCCUUUAGUGAUUAUACACGUUUAGGGCUUCCACAAAUCAUGAGUGACACCUAGCAGUAUGUCAUGGUUACCCAAGCUAAUCAAAAGAGGUGGAGAACCUAUUCAGUUUAGGAUUACAAUGCAAUACGGUAUUUCUCUAAUACAAUACUCUUGACCACAUUGUUUGGUUUGAUAGUUUAUUCAUGUCUACUAUCCAAUGUGAUUCAUUUACUUAUAUGAUUACCUUGAAUGUGAUUUGGAAUGACUUCCUAAAUCUUAUUCAUACUCUGGCCAGAGAUUCUUAAUCAUAUCAUAGAGUAUUCUCCCUCAAACGGUUUGAAGGUUAGAGAUCCCUUGUUGCGCAUUCACUUGCCUCCAUGGCUAAGUGGCUUAACCCCAACUAUGUCGUGGACACCCGCGAAUGGAGUGACUUUGACAUAAUCAAAUAUCAAGGACCUAACCACAAGACAACUAUGAUGCCUCAGGUCAAAUGAUUACUUUGCAUUAUCCCAACCAUGAGUUCUCAUGUGACAUGAGUAUGAAAACUUUUCGUUGACCGUGUUCAAUGAACUCAUUCCUUAUUGAGCACCUACGUAUUUGUCUUGGUGUCAGUCACACCAAUGACUCGAGACCAGUCACUCUUACUAAGAGAAGACAUAGCACGUACUGACCUUAACGGACUGUCAAUGCCUAAUUGGCAAUCCUAUGAUCAGCAACAUUUAGGAUAUGUAUACGAAAGAGAAUGGUCUCAUGAAUCUAACUUCUUUAAAUUACAUUCUCCUAAUUACAUAUUCCUUGGACUCAUCGUUUAAGCAUAUAACAUUUAUAUGAGACGACUUAAAACAAUAAUAUAUGCCCUUGAUAUUAAACUAGAUUAGUUUAACAUGUGAAAUGUCCGUAAAGUAUCAUCAUAUGAUUGGUUUUAGGGCACAUUUCCAACAGUUGCUUUUUGACUGCCCAACAUUUCGCACCAUAAAACAUCACUGGGCUUAUUGUCGUCCUAAUAAAAUUUUCCCUUGAGCUUUAGUGGCAUAUUAUGAUGCACUCUUCCACUUCAUCCAACCAACUUGUAUUAUGUGGUUGAGAGCUUCAUCUAAUUCUCUGUUAUUUUGCAAGAUAGAUCCACGAUAAAGAAAACGUUCACCCUUUGUACUUCCUGGUCUCCAAUCCUCACCCCUAACUUGCAAUUCAUAUAUAUAUUGACCAAUUUAGGCGAAGGUCUUUAUCUUCUAACACUUUCUACCAAAAUAUCGAUGAAAAUCUUGAAACCUUUUUCCCCGAUUUCAGUAAACAUGCUAUAGUUUGAGAAAAGCUUGUAAUACUAUGGUGUUUUAUAAUCACAUGGAUUAUUUUGAGUUCAACUCUUGAAAUAUUGUUUUAUAUUAAUUCAAAUCAUAAUUGCAUAUAGCUCAUUAUCUUGAAGGGAGAUACUUCUCGUGUCAAGAAUGUACUGGGUCUGGUAGGCCAUGGGCUUGUGCCUCAUUUGGCCUUAAUUUAGUCUUGCCUCCUACUCUAAGUUGACAACAAAUUUCAUGAUACGAAUAUAUUUAUGCAAUGAUGUUUUGUGCUAAUAAUAUAAUAUUAUGUACAAUUUCUUUCCACAUGACAUUGUAUAUUGGCAAAAAAAAAAAAAAACCUUUAACAUACUGUCUGGGCCCAAAAUAAUAUUUUGGACCGAGCUUAGAGUUGUUCUCGGCCCGGUAACAUUCAUCUAAAAUCUUGUCAUGGGUUGUUCAGUCAAGGUAGGCCAAAUCUUCUUGCUAGGAGGAUUGGUUUAGAAAAGGGUGAAGUAGUCGAACCUUAUUGUAACAAGGAGUUUUAAAGCUGAAGAUGCUUAGAAUUAGGGGAUGAAUCUGGUUCAGUAAGGAGCUUGGUUCAAAGUCCUAUAAGGGUUAGGAUUGACCGAAACCUGAUCAGAUUGGGUUAAAGAGUUCUAAUCCGAGUACAUUUCUAGUUCGGCCAUGAGAGGGGUUCGCUACUAUAAAUAGAAAAGGGAGUGCAUCAUUCAAGGCCCUUUCAAAUCAACACACAAAUUGCCCUGCGUAAAGCUUCUCAACAACCUCGAGAUUUUUUCAUCUCUCAUUUUCUUCUUGCCAACACAUCUUUAGUUUGGAUAAACAACAAACAUCAUUGUGAAGGCAACUGACGACAUCUUCAGUUUGGAUAAACAACAUUGGAGCUGUAGAAUCAGCCGACCGAGAAGCACUUUAGUUUGGAUAAACAACACCGCUUCGAGAUUGAUUGGUUAUUAUCCAAGUCUCGGUCGACAAGGAUUUCCGAGUCCUUAUUGGUAGAGGUCAUCUCAUCAGCCUUCUCAGUGAAGUGAGGUGUUACUAGGUUAUUAGGCUUGGCACAUUGAAAGCCGAGUUUUAUUUUAUGAUUGGAUAUUCACAAGUACAUUUUAGAGUUCUGCAUUCCGACAGCUGAACCACUUUUACAAUCAAGACAUUUAUCUCUUUUGAGUAUUUGUGUCCGUACAGUUUGGCGCUAGUUUGGCAUACUUAUACUCUCACGAAUAUAAUUACCGAGAUCGAACCCGAUACUAACGAUUUGUGAACUUUGAAGAGAUUAGCAGUCUUGUCUUCAGGCUCUAGAAUCGAAAGACCGAGACAUAUUCUUUUCUCGGCUGCAAUCGCAAGAUCAAGAAGUCAGCAGCGCGCCCGAUGCCACAUCAACAUAUUUUACUCCCUAGCCGAACUCGAUCGACGAGUUGGCAUGCCCCUUACACAACUGAAUGACGUAGUUAGCUUAUUAGUUACUCGGCUUAUGAGCCACGUAGGCUUGGUAGUUUUUAGGAUCAACAUUUUGGCAUAUCCAGUAGGACCCAGUGCUAAAACUACGAAGUUUAUGACCAUUGAAACACGGUUAGUUAAAAAGAAAACAGUCAUGGGUAAGUCAACAACUAAUCUUCCAUCUACUAUCCAAAGUCCAGGACAAGAUGGCUUGUCACAGGCAUAGAAUCAUUUUGCUGUCGUAACACCUGAAGCUAUAAGUACAACACACCGAGAAAAUGAAGUUAAUCUCGGCAGUCAGACUCGUGAUACAUAAAUCCCCACCAAAAUGACAAAAGGCAUUUUUGUUGAAUGACUGGUAGAGGAUUGUGACGACAACGAUAAUGAGGCCUCUAAUCCACCAUCUAAAUCUUUUCUCCGGCGACGAUUUGAAGAACAAUCCCAGCAGUUUGAGCAAAUGUUCAGCUGAGAGGUAAAAAACGUACUUGAAGAGAUGCGUGAUAAUAAUGAUGUGCACAACAGAUUGCUUAAAGUUUUGGUUAAUAAAGUCCAUGAUAUUGGACCCACCGAUCGACCUAGGUAGUCUCAGCUUCUAAAGAAUAAUCCAUUGCCAGCAAUAUAGGCUGAGACAAGAUUUGCUUUGCUCAAAAUGAUUGACUUAGAAAAAAAUGGCAAACCAAGCAGCUGAUCAUUAAGAAUCAACCGAGGAGAAUAAGCAACGGCUGUUGACAUGGUCGAAGUCCAAAGAAUUAUUGAUUCGGCCUUAAAAAAAGGCUGAAGUUUCCAAAAUUCAUUCACCCAUAUCCAGCCUUUGUAGAAAGGUUUGAGUAUCCUAAGGGAUUCAAGAUUCCAGACUUUAGCCUUUUCGUUAGAGAAUUAUACGUGUCCUCGUUAGAAUAUGUGGCUCGAUUCACUGCUAAAUGUGGAGAUGUUAACAGUGAUUUUCAUAAAUUGUUCAAUUUCUAGUUAACCGGCUCAAUGUUCGCAUGGUACAUCAACCUCCCACCAAACUCUAUCCAAAUUUGGGAGGAAUUGGUCGAGAAAUUUCAUGACCAAUUCUAUCGGCCAGGGAUGAAAAUGUCAGUUUCUUCUCUGGCUAUGAUGGCUUAAUCAUUCGACGAGUCACCAAUGGAAUAUCUUAUGAGGUUCAAAUCGGCUAAAAACUGGUGCUGAGUACCUCUCCCUGAAGUCGAGUUUGUUAGGCUUGCCCUGAAUGGCCUGGACGUGGAAUACAAAAAGAAAUUCUUGGGGGUAAACUUCUGAGAUAUGUACGAAUUGGCUCAACAUGUUAAGUAAUAUGAUUAUUUGCUUCAAGAAGAUAAAAUCUUGAAAUCUCUAACUCGAGGGACGAUCUACAAAAACCCAACGGUAAGUUAUGCAUUGGCCGAAGGUGAAGAGUCCUAAUAUGCCAGUAUAGAUGCGGCCGAGAUAGUAAUUGACAAACUAUACGUAUGCAUGGCAUUGGCCCAAUUUAAUUCCAAAGAUGUCAAAACCCGCUCAGCCCUUGUGGAAGCUGCUGUCAAAGUGUCAAAGGUUUACACUUUUGACAUCACCAAGGCUUAUGCCAUCUUCGACCAAUUGUUACUUGCAAAAAUCGUCAAGCUUCGGCCACGACAUAAUAUUCCCAAGGUCGAAGAUUUGAAAGGAAAGACGUAUUGCAAAUACCACAACUCAAACAAGCACACGAUAAAUAAUUAUGUCGUAUUUCACGACGCCAUCCAAAGCUGGAUCGAUAAUAGCAAACUCAAGUUUCCCAAGAAACCUCCAAUGGUCGUUGACGCCGAUCCUAAACCCUAAACCCUUAUCCUUCGGCGACGGUAAGCAUGGUAGAUACUUACCCAAGAACAAGAGAAAGGGAAAAGCCAAAUUCAUCCCGAUGCAAUACGUCAUUAAGUAGAAUUCUUGGUCACAAUUGAAAAUUGAUCUAUCCUCGGACGAGCCACCCAUAUACUUUUCAAACCCAGCUUAUGCCGAGUCAAUGUUAGACUCUAACAUAGAGGAAACUAACAGGCUGAUGGUUUUAUGUAGACGGUACAAAUCAUACGUCAUCAUAACUGAGCCAAAGGAAUAACCACUUUGGGCUGAAGCACCGUAACUGGCGACUGCAGUUGCAAUAACAUCUCAAAAGGUGCUCAGUGCAGGCCAACGCCAGAAAGUUUUCGAUAGGCUCGACCCUCAAACACAGAAUAACAAGCCAUCUUUGGCCAGAUGACGUAAUUUCGAAACGCCAUUUUACAAUGAAGAUUAUUAUGAGCGCAACUCUGGCAGCUCAAGUUCAUUCGUAAACCGACGAACCUUCAAGCCACCUGAGUCACGCUAUCAGCGUUGGUAUAGCUACAACUCCCCUACCAGAGCAUAUACUGAGUUGUACAAAUCGCAGAAAUGCCGCCACCAGAGAAUAGAUUGUAUGGCUCGUCGACAAGCAGCCUAGGCUACCUUAGCUUCCAAAUGGCAGUCGAAAGAAAUGGUGGGUAACAAAGAUGACCGACAACCUCCAGCAAUCAUGACUAAAUUGCUUCAAGGAAAGAAGGUAAUCGAUCACGAUUUUGAAACCAUAAUUGAAGAGUCCGAGAAGCGAAUUAAACAUCUUCCUUGGCCUAGGGAGAUGAAAGCUCGCCUCAAGCAUUUCUGAAAUAAAGUAGAACCAAACUUUCUCUGCUACCUCCAUAAGAGCCAUUAAUUAAAGUUAGACGAAAUCGCCACCCACAAUUUCUCGAUGAAGCUUUGGAAUACAUACAGGAGUUUCACAAUAAGCAUUCGGCUAAUGACUUGUACGGCCUGCCAAAAACAUGACAAGAGUCUCUUGAUCUGGCGUUAACCUGCUCCGAUGCCGAACAGAUUAUCCAAGAGUGGUUGGAUAUGGGAAUGAAGGCUAGGUUCCAACAUAUACGCGAGGCCCGAGUUCUCGGUUUUGAGGUAGAACCAUAUACUGAUAUUGAUAAUGCCGAUCUUCCUUUCUCUCUCGAUGACCUCCAAUAUCUGCGGUACCAUUUUGAAGUUUUCUUAAUCGUUUUUCUCUUCGACCUUAUGGCCGAUAAAAAAAAGUGUGGCAUGUUUAGAUGUUUACCUGGACACAAGAGACGCCCGCAUUGCAUAUUAGGAGCGGACUUGCAAGGCUUUAUAAGCAUAAGACCAAGUUCCAACGCCGAGCGAGCCAAUGGUCGAAAUUCAAAAUGAAACAGCUCCGACAAACAUAUCGCAUGAACACAUUUUCGCUACAGCUGAAGAUGGCCAAGCGAGUAAUGCCAUGAGCAAAACACCUCGCUGGAAAAUCCAGAGGACGAAGAUCACGACUUGAUGGGCCUUUCGGUCCUCGACAACAUAGAAAUCAACAUGGUUCAUGUCUUACUUGCAGAAUUCUGGCCAACCACAUCUCAAUCAAAUUUCUUGGACGAUGACGUCAUUGUUAAGGAGGCCACGCAAGUCAAUUUUCUGGUCGCCGAAGAAAUUAAGCAUAUAAGCAAAGAGGAAAAACUUAAAGCAGCUAUCGCAUAACUAUUUCCCCGUUCUUCAUCUGUUAAUUUUCAUCACUUGAAGUCGUUGUAUGUCACGGCCCAUAUUGAAGGAUACCUGAUUUCUAAAAAAAAUUUCUACUGUGGAGCAAUGGUCAACAUCAUGCAUGUUUCUAUCAUGAAAGCAAUACGUCGCUCCAAUAACGAACUCAUUCCAUCAGGGGUAACCAUGAGCAGCUUUGUCGGCGACAAAUCUCAGACUAAGGGAGUGCUUCAUUUAGAAGUGACUAUCGCAGGUCGAAAUCACAUGACCGAGUUUUUUAUAGUCGAUUAAAAAAUUGAGUAUAAUGCAUUGCUUGGUCGAGACUAGAUCCACCAAACUGGCUAUAUCCCCUCGUCAUUAUUUCAAGUCUUCAUCUUCUGAGACGCCAAACGGCUGUAUUACAUCCAAUAAACAAUUAGUUGUUCAAAGCUAAUAUGAUUCAAGUUCACUAUUAUGAUGAUCAUGUCGGCUACAUCACCCUGCAAGGUUUCAAUGAAGAAUGACAACUGACUCGGAUCUCAGUUCAGAAAGCCAUCGAGGUUGGCGCCAAGACUGUUCAGCAGGAUUUGACGAGACUUGGGUUGGUUAACCUAAUUGAUGAUCCUCAUGCCUGAUACCAAACAAGAUAAACACUGGGCUGCAAUUUCAUCCAUUAUGGAACGUCUGUUGGCCCAUUGGUGUACUAUUUAUACGCAACCGAAUUCUGGCGUGAACUUAGUAAAGUUCCUCGCCGAAUGAGGCAACAGUCCAGUCCCGUUACUUGAUAAAGUCUAAGCUACCCCAACCGAGCUCGAAAAUAGUUGGCCCCAAGUUAAAGAUCUAUUGGAUGAAGUAAACGUUCGAAUAACCGAUAACCCUCAGCAUUUAUUUGUUAGUUCUUUGCUGCCCCAACCUAUGUAAGCUGAGCUUUGUAAACUGUUCGAAGAAUUUAAAGAUUGUUUCGCUUGGAGUUACCAUAAGAUGUCUGGCCUGGAUCGAACACUUGUCGAGCACGAAUUACGAAUCAAGGUUGGUUGUAAACCUUUUUAUCAACCCCCUUUCCCGACGAUUUUCGAUCAAAGUUCAGCUUGGCAUAAAAGAUGAACUCGUUCGACUUUUAAAAGUUGGUUUUAUUCGGAUAGCUCAAUACGUCGAAUGGUUGGCGAAUAUUGUCCCAGUUUUAAAGAAAAGUGGUGUUCUGUGUAUUUGCAUUGAUUUUCGUAAUUUGAACUUGGCAACCCCUAAAGACGAAUAUCCAAUUCCAAUUUCAGACUUGCUAAUCGCUCAGCAGCAAACCAUGAGAUGUUAUCUUUCAUGGAUGACCAUGCUGGGUACAACCAGAUUUUCAUUGCUAAGGUCGCUGUCUACAAAACUGUUUUUUGUUGGCCGAGGCACUCGGGACCUAAGAAUGGGUCGUCAUGCCUUUCGAACUUAAGAACGCCAAUGCCACUUAUCAACGUGCUAUGAAUACCAUUUUUAAUGACUUGAUUGGCUUAGUUGUUGAGGUAUAUAUUGAUGAUGAUGUGGUUAAAUCGAAGCACCACCGAACAUAUUUAGAUGAUCUUCGGGGAGCUUUCCCUCGUAUGCGCAAACAUAACCUUAAAAUGAACCCUGUGAAGGAAAUUUUGUGAAAAACAUGUUCAUUUAAGCAACAUCUAUAGCAUGCAAUUAACAAUUAAAAGGCGGAAUCAUGCUUGCAUGCACUCAAAAACAAAACAUUAACCAUGAAAUUCAAAGCCUAGUAGAUUGGUGAACCUUGACUCAACUUAAAACAACAUUUGUUAGUUGAGAAAUUAUACCUUUGUAGAUUCCUCUUUGCAUAAGCAAAGGCUAAUCACCCAAAGAGAGGGCCUUCAUUCCUUGCAUCUUAGAUCUAUGGAUUUGGAUGGAUGAAAUGGUUCUCCAAGUUCCCAAAAUUGAGAACCUUUAAGUCUCUUCACCAAGGUUAGAUUGGAGAAGAAAUGAGUGACCUUGGAGUAGUAGGAUUGCUAGCUAAACCCUCCAAGGAGGCCGGCCACUUUAGAGAGAAAUGAGAGCUUAUGUUCUCAUCCUUUCCCCAAAAGAAAACCCUAAAUGAAUUUUGGCUAUAAAGUCAUAUUUAUACCUUAAUUCAUUGGAGUGGCAAACUUGUAAAUAAGUCCAAAACUUACUCCAUCUCUAAAUGGCCGGCCUUAGGGUAUUAUUGGGCUAAUUGGGCCUUUGUGAAUCUUUAUUCAUUAAGUUGUCAUACAACUUAAGUCAAUGGGCUUGACGUUUGAAGCCCAUUGGGCCUUAAGGUCCAAAACUAUCCCGAGGUCUUUAACGAACUUAUUCGUUUGAUUAAUUAACAUAUUAAUUAAUCCUUGCCAUAAAUAAUUAAACCAUUUAAUUAUUCUUACUCAUCUCCAUUGUUUCUUCAAUCUCCACCUUACACGGUGUACGAUCCAUUAGGUUCCUUUUAGCGAGGCAAUGAGCGAUUAAAACCAUUUCAAAUCGAUUGUGAAUUGAAACUUACUUUCAAUUCUCCUUUUAGUGAUUAUACACAUUUAGGGCUUCCACAAACCAUGAGUGACACCUAGCAGCAUAUCAUGGUUACCCAAGCUAAUCAGAAGAGGUGGAGAACCUAUUCAGUUUAGGAUUACAAAUGCAAUACGGUCUUUCUCUAAUACAAUACUCUUGACCACAUUGUUUGGUUUGAUAGUUUAUUCAUGUCUACUAUCCAAUGUGAUUCAUGUGCUUAUAUGAUUACCUUGAAUGUGAUUUGGAAUGACUUCCUAAAUCUCAUUCAUACUCUGGCCAGAGAUUCUUAAUCAUAUCAUAGAGUAUUCUCCCCCAAACGGUUUGAAGGUUAGAGAUCCCUUGUUGCGCAUUCACUUGCCUCCAUGGCUAAGUGGCUUAACCCCGACGAUGCCGUGGACACCCGCGGAUUGGGUGACUUUGACAUAAUCAAAGAUCAAGUACCUAACCACAAGACAACUAUGAUGCCUCAGGUUAAAGGACUACUUUGCAUUAUUCCAACCAUGAGUUGUCAUGUGACAUGAGUAUGAGAACUCUUCGUUGAUCGUGUUCAGUGAACUCAUUCCUUAUUGAGCACCUACGUACUUGUCUUGGUGUCAGUCACACCAAUGACUCGAGACCAGUCACUCUCACUGAGAGAAGACACAGCCCGUACUGAUCUUAACGGACUGUCAAUGCCCAAUUGGCAAUCCUAUGAUCAGGAACGUUUAGGAUGUGUCUACGAAAGAAUGGUCUCAUGAAUCUAACUUCUUUAGAUCGCAUUCUCCCAAUCACAUAUUCCUUGAACUUAUCGUUUAAGCGUAUAACAUUUAUAUGAGACGGCUCAAACAAUAAUCUUUGCCUUUGAUAUUAAACUAGAUUAGUUUAACAUGUGAAAUGUCCGUAAAGUAUCAUCAUAUGAUUGGUUUUAGGGCACAUUUCCAACACCCUGCCAAAUAUGCCUUUAGUGUAUCGGCAGGCAACUUCUUGGGUUUCCUUGUAUAUCAUCAUGGCAUCGAGGUAGAAGAGAAUAAAGCUCGAGCGAUCAUUGAUGCUCUACCACCAACAACCAAGAAGCAAUUACAGUCCUUACUCGACGUAAUCAAUUUCCUCCACCGUUUCAUUUCUAACUCGGCGAGGAAAAUGGGUGAUUUUUCCACGCUCUUGAAACUUAAGGAUUCUAACAAAUUUGAAUGGCGCGAAGAACAUCAUGACGUUUUUGUGUAAAUCAAGGUCUCCCUCACCACCCCACCUGUCCUCGUGCCACAUCGACAUGGUAAACCUCUUAAGUUGUAUAUCCCGGUUGCCGAGGAAUUCAUUGGUUGUCUUCAUACGCAAGACAACGACACUAGGCAGGAGCAGGCCAUUUUUUAUCUUAGCCGAAAUCUUAACUCAACUGAGAUAAAUUACUUAGCCGCCGAGAAACUCUGUUUGGCUUUGUUAUUUGUUGCGUCUAAACUCAGGCAUUACAUACUCCCUUCUAUUACUCAGGUCAUCGCCCAAACAGAUGUUAUUUGUUAUAUGCUCACUCGGCCGAUAGUAAAAGGCCGAAUUGGGAAAUAGACAAUGGCGUUGUCCAAAUUUAGUUUGCAAUAUGUGCCCCAAAAAAUCGUCGAAGGACAGGCGCUGGCCAAUUUUUUAACUCAACAUCCUUCUCCAUACAGUUUUAAGGGCAACGACGUCGAAAUUGGCAUGGUGGAAACACGUGAUAUUUAUUGGAUGAUGUAUUUUGAUGACUCUAGUACCUCGACCUUGGCUGACGUUGGAAUCGUCAUCCAAUCCCCUGAUCGUUACCAAUGGUAUUUUUCUCUCAAGUUGGAUUUUGAUUGUACAAACAAUCAAGCCGAAUAUGAGGCCCUCGUCAUCGACCUUACUUGAAGGCAGCCCAUGUGCUCGUCCUCAGCGAUUCAGAACUUGUGAGUAACCAACUCAAUGAGACUUUUCGUUGCAUUAGUUGUACUUUCGCACCCUAUCAUAUGGUUACCAAUUAUUUAGCUGAAUCAUUUGCAGACAUUACGUUUAAGCACAUUUUGCAAGUUCGAAAUACUGACGCGGACAAGUUAGCUCAAAUAGCCUUUGGAGCACAAUUCUUGAGGGUGAACUAGGUCGGGUCAUACCAGUGGUGGACAUCUACACCCGGCCUUGGUUAAUCAACAAGUUCUCUAGCAUGACCACGUAAUCUGUACAUGAGUUAUGUCCCUACCUUCGUUGUUCGAACGAGAGGAUCCUAUGGAUAUAUGCACGGUCUAGACAUUACCAGACGACUGGAGAAGAUUAAUCAUGCAAUAUUUUGAUAAUCCCAGUGGUAAACACGACCGCAAGACAAGGGUACACGCCACAAAUUACAUAAUGUACUAGAAUGUACUAUAUCGAAAAGGUGAAGACAAUCUGUUAUUAUCGUGCCUCGGCCCAGAUGAGGUUGCCUAAGCUAUUGCAGAGGUACACAAAGGAAUAUGCAUGGCUCAUCAAUCCGGACGUAAAACACGUUGGUUGCUCCGCCGACAUGGUUAUUUUUGGCCGAGUAUGUUAAAAGAUUACAUUGAAUACGUGCAAGGUUGUGUACAAUGUCAAAUCCAUAGGCCCAUACAAAGGGUCCUAACCGAAUUACUUCACUCGAUCACUAAGCUAUGGUCGUUCAGAGGAUAGGCCAUAGAUGUAAUCGGUAAGAUGACGCCGUCUUCCGGAUCGGCAAAGCAUGCAUGGAUACUUGUAGCGACCGACUACUUCACCAAAUGGGUCGAAGAAAAAUCAUACGCCAAGUUAACAUCUAAAAAAAGUUUGCAAUUUUGUAGAAGAAAACAUCGUGACGAGAUUUGGCAUACCAGAAACAAUUAUAACGGACAACGGCACGAUUUUUACAGUCGACAGGUUUAAAGAAUACACAGCAAGUUUGAAAAUUCGGCUUGAACAGUCCACACCAUAUUACCCAUAAGCAAACAGAUAGGCCAAAACAAGUAAUAAAGUUCUAAUGGGUAUCCUUGAGAAAAUGAUAAAAGAAAAGCCUGGUAUGUGGCAUUUGAAGUUAAAUGAGGCAUUAUGGGCAUAUCGAACUUCACUCCAAUCAGCAACAGGGACGACCCUAUAUGCGUUAACUUAUGGACACGACCCGAUGCUACCAGUCGGGCUAAGCAUCAACUUGUUAUGAGUUAUUGAACAAAGCAGUUUGUUUAGUGCCGAGUAUAGUCAGGCCACAAGGCAAGAGUUGGAGGAUUUGGAGGAAGCUCGGCUCGAUGCCUAUAACUUACUAGAGGCGUAGAAAAAGAUUGCCUUAUGAGCUUAUAAUCGAUGAGUUAGGCAAAAGACAUUUGAUGAAGGUGAGUUAGUGUGGCACCGUGUUAUCGGCAGGGAUUCAGGAUUCCAUAUUCAGGAAAUGGUCGCUGAAUUGAGAAUGCCCAUUCAUUGUCAACAAAGUUCUUGACAAAGGGGUAUACCACCUCAAGGAUCGAACUGGUUUAAUUCAUAAAUUAUCGAUCAAUGAGAAAUUCUUAAAGAAAUAUCAUCUGGUCACUUAGGAGACGCAAGAAUAAAGGAUUGAUUUCAUUAAUUUUCAAAAGGCGUACACGCAAAAUUACAAAAAGAAAUCGACCAGCCUACAAGCCGGCACACAAAAAUUCCUAAAGAGUCAAAUGAAGAAAAGCUUGAAGAGCGGCUUUCAGUUCCAGCCACUUCACUUCACCUAUUGUGACCUCGGCCUGUCGUGUUCUUUUGUCAGCCUUUAAUUGCUUUAUUCGUUUCGUGCUAGCCGCGUACUCUGCUAGUCGAGGUUUGUUCAACUCAAAAUCCUUUUCAAGCUCAGAAGUAACAACCAACCUCUGAAGAUGAAGUUCGACGAUUUAAUGAUCAAGGUUAGCCAAUCUCUCAUUCUUUGCCUUUAUUACCUGGAGCUCUGGUCGGAUAGCUUCGUGAGUGACCAUUGCAGCCUUAAAGUUGUCUUCUGUCCGAAGAGCCUUCUCGAAAGUAGUGAAAUAUUAUAGAGUUCUUUCUAGGACAGUUGAUAAAUGAACGACACUCUCGUUGCUCUGCAAGUUGUCGGCUGUAAGGUCGUUCAAGCACUCUCCCACAGAGUCGAGACCUUUGCGUUAGAGGAUUUGUGAGGCCGGGAGAGACAGAAGUUCCUGCAGCUUGGCGAGGGCGUUAAACUUGGCCGUGGUUACAGAAUGCCCAAUCGUCCCCGAAGUGCUGGAGAGAAAUGCAUCAAGCUCAACUUCCCAUGAAGGCUACACAAAAAAGAUUUGUUAGAGAAAAGAGAAUUAAAAAAGAUGGCAGAGAAAGAAGUUGUGUUAGACCUGCCGAGAAAAGACUCCAGCCAUGUUUACUGGUUCGUUGGUUGAACCCAGAGAGCUUAAUGGCCAAGCUUAGUGUUUAAGGCAAGUUUUCAAUUCAGGUAGCCGAUGAAGGUUAUCUACGUUUGAUGGCCACUGGGGUGGCUAGGAAAUAUAGAUAACGCAUUUCGGUGCAUAUAAUUUUUGGUGAAAUGAGCGAUUAGGCACCUGGCAUUUAAUGUUUUUCUUGGUUUAGAGUUCUAAGGCAGGAAAUUAAUAAAAGACAAUGAUGAUGAGUCUUACAAAGGUCGAAGUGACCUCCUAAAGAGGGAUACCAAGGUUCUGGUCCUAGGAUGAACAUGUGUUUUUGCCGUUGCUUCUGGUUUAACAGAAGAUGUCGCUUCAUGUCCCGGACGUACUUCGGCCGCUUGGGGGUCGACCUGGCCAACCACCUCGACCGCCGGUUAGAGAUCACCUAAAGGGGAUGCGACAACUUUACCUUUGUCCAGAGGCAAGAGACUUGUAGUAGGUGGUUCAACUCGUCGAAGGCACCUCACCAGCAAAGGUACUUUGUUCUCGUUCUCCUAAUCAUAAAAAAUGAUUGUUCGUUAGUCAAUAGAUCUUAUCAAAAUGAAAGGAGAACAUUAUUAAGGGAAAUUGCCAUACCUCUUCUUCUAUGACUAUCACUGGAUUAUUCUUUGGAUUGGGGGAAAGGUUUCUCUCGACCGUGGUUGCCGCAUUCUCCAGAGUAGCAGCAGCUAGGCCCUAAUCAGCAGGGGUAAUGGCCGGCUCCAGGGACCAUUGAGGCGACGACUAGUUCAACUUCAACAGCAAUUUGCAUGAUGGGUCAAACCUUGACCGUCUGGUCUAUAGUUGGGGUCAAAAGGUUUUGCGGUCCCUUUAUCGAAACUUGGAUAGCAAGAGAAUGAGGAGUGAUACUAUGAGUGGUUGCUCUUAUGGUCUGACUUGAAAUAACAUAAAUCUCCCCAUCUCCGUUCUUUGCCUUUUUCUUAAUACGCUUUUAGGGUUGGGCAACGUUACCAGUUGUCUCGAUCUCCGGGCGAGACUGUUUGCUCGAUGCAAUUGGCACAGCAGUGGCCAUUAUUGUAGUUAGGUUGGUAGUCUUUUCGGCUAAGGGAGUCACGAUAGUUGCAAUCUUUUUUUUAGGAGGAGUAAGUUUCUUUUUUACUGCGACCAUCCUAACCACAUCGACCCGUUGUAUUGCACGACCACCUGGGAAAAGCUAAGCCUGAGUCAAAAUGAAGUUUGAAUAUAUGAACAAUGAAAUAAAAUAUAUAUACCUUGAGCUGUUUCUUUGGAUUUUGGAGCAAGAAUCUUCUUUGGUAGAUCGCCAAAAAGUUUUUUUGAAAUUUCCUCGGCCAAAGUACCAAAGAAAUGCUUGAUAUAAGCAUCCCACCAAUUGGUGAAAGUGCUGGUACUAUGGGUUUUUGGAGUAUUCAACUGAAUGUGGAAUUUGGUACAUUGCUCUUGAAAUUCUUACUCGGUUUCCUCGCAUUCCCUCUCCAAGUAGCCCGAGAGGCGUUUUCGACUCAAAAGUGAGCAAGAGUUUAGGAGUGGCAUAUGAUAGCCCUAAAGAAAGCCCAAUUAACUUGCCACUAAGUUAGGAUGGUAGACUUCCCAACUAGCUCGUUGAGCAUCGCAACCAAAAGAAAGGUCGCGAGCUAGGGUAAACAACCCUCAUGACUGUCAAAGGUUGGUUUCCUCUGUUUCUUCCCAUGCCGAUGUUGGGAGUUUGAUGGAAGACGAAUAUUUCUGGUGGCGGCAGAUCAGAAAUUUGUCAUUUGAUAGAUCUUCAAGGCUGAAGAAAUACUUGAAGAUGUCUUCGGCCGAGUGUGUAGGAAUGGGGCACGAGGUUAGUUGAAGACCCAUCGCUUUAGAAGAGUUGAAGCUUGGGAUUUCUGGCCUCAGCUUGGAAAAGUAAACCUGUAGCCAAAGUUGGAAGACCUAGAGUGGGCUGUUCUAGUGUGGAUCGAUCUUCCCAACAGAAGCCUCAACCAAGCACCGGUUAAGGUUGGUGAGGAUGGCCGGGCUGAGGGCCAAGACAUGGUCGUUAGCCAAAGCUUCGACCACUGACAUAUUUUCGGCCAAGCACUUGUUUGAAGGGAAAACUAUGAGAUUCAUGUAUGGGAUUUCUAAAUGACUAUCAUGCAUAUCCAAAACAAUUUUGAUAUACGAAAGCAGCGGAAGCAUUUAUAACAUAUUAUCAAAGCUAUAGUCAUGCAAAUCCCCUUCAAAGUUCAUAGGUUUAUAUAUAAUGCAUCAAAUAAAAUUUAAGAGAAAAAGAACAAAGUGAAGGUUUAGUCUUAUACCUCUUGAUCUAGACUUGAGACCAAGGAUGGACCACCUCCAAGCCCUUUGUUCCUUGAACUCCUUGAGCCUAGCUUCCUUCCUUGCCUCCUCCACUUUGUUACAAUGAGUGCUCCUAGGUUCUCUUCAAGUUCCCAAAGUAGGAAACCUCUAAAGAUCCUCACCCACUAGUGUAGUGAGAAGGAUGAAGGAAUAACCAAAAGGGUGAAAGAUUGUUAGCUAAAUCACCCUCUUUGGUGGCCGGCCUUUGUAGUGAUUUUAGAGAGAUAUUCUUUUGCCUCUUUGUUGUUUUAACAACACAAAAACCCUAAUGAACAAUAUCUCAUAAAGUUCCUUAUAUAGACAAAAGAAACCUAGUCAACACUUGACCAAAUAUCUCACCCUUUCCACCUUAAAGUGGCCGGCCUCUUUGUUGUUUGUUUGGGCUUUGGGCUUUCAUUAUUUCAAGUCAUCCAAUGCUUGAAUAAAAGCCCAAUGGGUUUAGGCCCAAUGGACCCAAUUAAACCCGAACGUUUCUUAAGCCCAAAACGAUCUUUAUCGCUUUUAUGAUUUCUUUAGACUUCUAAAUUAAUCACAACAAUUAAUUAAUCCAAUUAAUUAUUUCCAUCAUCCAUUAGUUACUCACUACAAUAGUGUAUUGGUGAACAAUCUUUUAGGUUCUAAUUAGCAAGGCAGUGAGGUGAUUGGCACCAAUCCAAUUUAAUUCAAUCACUUAGUGAAUUGAAACUUCAUUUCAAUUCACCUUUCUUCUUUGAUGACUACAUUUAAUCAUCUAGAAGAACUCACAAGCUAUGAGUAACAUCUAACCAUAUGUCAUAGCUACCCAAGCUAAUGUAGAAGUUUAUUCGGAGAACCUAUUCAGUUGGAAUUACAAUGUAAUUCGAUCCUUCUCUAAUACAAUACUCUCAAUCACAUCAUUAGGGUAUGGAUAUAUUAUGUCAAACCCCUAAUGUGAUUAUUCCUUCUUAUAUGAUUCAAUUGAGUCGUAUAGGAACGCUUUCCUUUAUUACGCUCGAUACUUCGGCCAAAGAUUCCCGAAUCAUAUCUUAAAGUAUUCUUCCUCUCUUAUCGAGGAUUAGAUAUUCCUUGUUGCGCAUACACUUGCCUUCAUGACUAAGUGGCUUAACCCCAAUUAUGCCGUGGACACCCUCGAAUGGGGAGACUUUGACAUAAUCAAAGAUUAAGUACUUAACCACAAGACAACGACGAUGCCUCAGGUCUAAGGAUUACUUACAUCUUUCCAACCAUUAAAGUUACUUGCUUGACAUGUGAGUAGACCUCCAUGCAAGUACUCUCGUUCGAUUGUGUUCAGUGAACUCAUUCCCCUAAUGAGCACCUACAUACUUGUCUUAGUGUCACAACACGAAUGGGAUGAGACUUUCCAUCCUUCCAAUUGAAGCAGACACAGUAUGUACCGGUUUACGCAUUGUCAGUAUCCCUCCGACAAUCCAACGACCAGGAACCUUUUUUGGACAUUUGGUUAUGUGAAGAAGGUCUCUGUAGUCUAACAUCAUUAGAUUACUUCUUCAAUCGAUCCACUGUCCAUGGAUACACUAUUUAGGACAUAUAUCGUUUAUUGAGAUAGUCCUAAUUCGUGUCUUUGCCAUUUGAUGUAUAAGAAUCAUCCAUACAUCAAUUCAUUUGUCCUGAAAGGUUUCUUCCAAAGAUUGACUUUCAGGGCAUAUUUCCACCAUUGUUCGACUUAGUACAAAAGAUGAAUUUAUUGUACCAGUAAAACAAGAAAGCCUCGUGCUCUUCUUUCUUGAGAUCUUUCUUCUCUGAACCAUCAAAGUGGUUGAUUAAGGUGUUGUAGUUGAAGAAAUUUUUGUGCAGUUUGUGCAUAUCUUCUUUUGAUAGCUUAUGAUCCUUAUUUGUCAAAACCUCGACGGCAAGAUCGUCGAAGACUGCUUUCAGAUCCAGAUCGAACUGAUACAGAGAAAGAUUGGUAUCAAUUGGGAGAUCAGAGGGAGAAGUGCCUAGUAUGGAUGUGAUGUCCAGCACGGUUAGCUCAAUGGGAUCGAGAUAAAGAACCAUAAUGUGGGUGGCCCAACACCAGAAGCUCAAGGCGGCCAUCAGGAGCUCUCGAUCUAUGUUGAUUUGAAAGGUCGAGAGUUUAAUAGCGUCAAAGGUGCCGAGAGUUUUCCAUUCAUCACCAAAAUGUGGCUCCAUUCGGGUGACCUAAGUAGCCCAAGUCACUGGUGUCGAGGGCCAGGGUCCUUAAGGUUUGGUCGAUUCCCACUUCGACCAAUCAUACCUUUGGAAUAAGGGUUUUAGGCAGUCUGCCUUCAGCAUUGCGUUGAUGAUUUCUAGGAUGUUGUCCUUAAAGGGUGGUCCCAGAAUCUGGUGAGUAGUGUUUGAAUCACCCUCAAAUCGAAGGGUUUUGAUGGCACUCCGAUCGAUGAAGUCUUGGCAUUUGUUGCAUUCCUCGGUGAGCUUAGUGAGGAAAGAAUUGGAGGCCAUUGAUGAAGGUUUGGUGUGUUUCUGGGUUUCGAGGUUUGAGUUCUUUUUCUGGGUUGGGAGCAAAUGGCAAGAAUUUCUAAAGGUUGAAAGCAUGAAAGUUCGAAUUAAGCUGGGCAAAAUUUUUAUAGGCAAUUGGGAGAGAAGAUCAACUGUUUAGGUUUAAGAGAUGAAGGGCAAAUCCGACCGAAGAAUUUCAUAAUCAUAACGAAUAUCUUGAAAAUCCAGGUGAAGAGGCCGAAAAGCAUGCGAAUUGAGGUUGCACGAUUGUGUGUAAUGAUGAAGUUUAUGAAGAAUACAUGUUUCGGUGUCUGCACGCCUUGAACGUGGGGGUACUCAUUAUUGAAGAUGGACAGUCAUGAUGAAGAGCUGCCACGUGUCAAGAAAACUUACAGAAGUGAGAGGUCGUGCUUAAUAAAUAUGUUUGGGUGGUUAGAGUAUUCGAGGUUUGCAAUGUUCUCUGGUUUUUCUAGAAAGAAUAUGCUAAGGGUUUAUUAUUUGGCAAUGAAUCACUUCUUCAAAGUCGAGGCUCUGCCAGGAAUUGUAGGCCGAAGACCUCAGAAGUGAGAAGGGCAAUGUUUGGGCCUAAAAUAAUAUUUUGGGCCGAGCUUAGAGUUUUUCUUGACCUAGUAACAUUCAUCUAGAAUCUUUUCAUAGGUUGUCCAGUCAAGGUCGACCGAAUCCUAUUGCUAGAAAGCCUGGUUUAGAUAAGGGUGAAGUAGUAGAACCCUAGUGCAACAAGGAGUCUUAAAGCUGAAGCUGCUUAGAAUUAGGGGAUGAAUCUGAUUCAUUAAAGAGCUUGGUUCAAAGUCCUAUAGGGGAAAUGAUUGGUUGAAACCUGAUCAAAUUGGGUUGAGGAGUUAUAAUCCGAGUACAUUUCUAGUUCGGCCAUGAGGAAGGUUCGCUGCUAUAGAUAGAGAAAUGAGUGCAUCAUUCAAGGACUCUUCAAAUUAACACACAAAUUGCUGUGCGCAGAACUUCUCAACAACCUUGAGAUUUUUUCAUCUCCCAUUUUCUUCCUGCCGAUGACAUCUUCAGUUUGGAUAAACAGCAUUGGAGCUGUAGAAUCAACCGGCCAAGGAACACCUCCAAUUUGAUAAACAACACUACUUCGAGACCGAUUGGUUAUUAUCCAAGUCUCGGUUAACAAGGAUUUCGAAGUCCUUGUUGGUAGAGGUCAUCUCAUCAACCUUUUUGACGAAGUGAGGUGUUACCAGGUUACUAGGCUUAGCACAUUGAAAGCCGAGUUUUAUUUUAUGAUUGGAUAUUCACAAGUACAUUUUAGAGUUUGGCAUUCCGACGACCGAACCACUUUUACAAUCAAGACAUUUAUCUCUUUUGAGUAUUUGUGUCUGUACAGUUUGGUGCCAGUUCGGCGUACUUAUACUUUCACGAAUAUAAUUACCGAGACUGAACCCAGCGCUGAUAAUUUGUGAACUUCAAAGAGAUUAGCAGUCUUGUCUUCAAGCUCUAGAAUCCAAAGGCUAAGACAUGUUCCUUCCUCGGCCAUAGUCGCAAGAUCAAGAAGUCAAAACUCGGCCAAUGAGUUGGCAAGCCAUGCACACAACCGAAUAACGUAGUUAGCUUAUUAGUUACUCGGCAUGUGCGCCAUGUAGGCUUGGUAGUUUUUAGGGUCAACACAUACAUCAACUAAACACUCAAGACAUCCAUACCUUAUAUUGCCAUCCAAACAGGCGCUGAAUUGCCUCUGUGAGUCUUCCCGACCCCCAGAAGAGGUGGAUAACCGUAGCUUGCCACCAGCUGUCUUUCUUAAAAACAAUAAAAAUAAAUAAGCGCUGAAUUGCCAUUCAAACAGGCCCUAUAGUGCAGUGCAACCUACUAACUACUAAGGUGCCACUAAAACAAACAAUACUUAUCAAAUUCAAAAACCAAGAUUCACGUAUUGGGUCAACAGACAUAAGUACCAUGGACCAUACUACCUAGCAGACGGCAUUUAUCCAAAGUGGACAUCGUUUGUCAAAACAGUGCCACGUCCACAAAGUGAAAAGGAAAAACACUUUGCAAGCUGUCAAGAGGGGUGUAGGAAGGAUGUGGAGCGUUGUUUUAGUAUCCUCCAAGCUCGUUGGGCGAUUGUCAAGGGUGCUGCCAAUACAACCCGAAGUGAUUGCAAAAUUAUAGGCUCCGAUUAAAAACAAAUUCCCUAGUCCCUCGUGAAUGGAAAAUCAUCACUUAACCAAUUUGUGGUGCUAUGACCAUCUCCUUUUGCUCUCGCUUCUCUUGCAGGCCUCUUUAGCAUCACGUUCGCUUUCUUUGAAUUCUAAAAAUAUUUAGAAUUCGGAAACAUUGCCUCUUCAGGCUCCUUCAUAAUGCCACAAUCUUGUUGAGCCCUUAUUUCUUCAUUAAGCUCUUCCCUUUCUUGCCUAAGUAGAUCUCUUUCUCUCUCAUUAGCUUGAAAUAACCUCUUACCAGCUACAUCUUUUGCCUCAUCUCUAGCCUUAUCAGCCUCAAAUUUAGCCAUUUCCCAUGCCAAAGUCAAUUCACCUUGAUGAGCAAGUUCUUCCAUAUAUUUUGCAUAAUCUUUUUGGAAGCAGUCCAUUUUCUCUUUGAAGCCUUUUUACCUUGAGGCCUAAUUGGAUAACGGGUGGACCCCGACCCUUGUUCAAGGAUCACUUCCGGCAUUUGUUCUAUGUCGCUUUCAUGAACAUGUGAGUCAUGAUCUGGAGUAUAAUGUAUAUGGGUGUUGUUCAUGACAACUUCUAGACCGACAGACACAACUUUGAAUUUAGGACAAUUUUUACAAUAUUCCAACAUUCCCAUCUGGUGUAUGAUUUAUUUAUUUAUUUUUUUUUGGCAUUAUACCAAGCUUGUGCUUGAAGUGUCUACACAAUGCAGAAGAAGAAAUAAUUAUAAUUAAAGUAGCUAAUGUAAAUUUGGGUAUAGUACAAACAAAUAAAUAAUAUAUUGUUACCUGAUCCAUGAAAUUUUCUCCAUUUCGAAAAUUACUACUAGCUUGUGUCAAGGCGUUUCUCCAAUGAGUAAACGAUUGGCAGAGUAUUCUCCAACGACUGGACAUUGAUUCUUUCAUUCUUUUCUCACCAAUUUCCUCAAGAAAAAAUGUAUGAAUAAGACUCUACAUUUCUCGCAACUGCAUCUCAUUAGCUGUAAUCGGAUCAUGAGUAACUUCAACCCAGCUAGAACACAAUGUAACAUCUUCAAUAAGCAUCCAAUUCGUACCUGCAUCAUUAGUCAUUUUGUUGGAAACCAGUUGGAUUGAAACUUUGAGAGAAAGAUUGUAGUGUGGUUGAAAGUGUUUAUACCAUAUUUAGGGCCUCGUAUUUAGACCUCGUAUAAAUACUCGAGGGACUUAAAUGUAAUUAUGUGAUAAAGGAAGGGGCAAAUAUAUAAUAAGUGAGGAGUCCUUAUUCUAUAAAAUGAUCCCUCACCCUCACAAUUAGGGGAGGUCAACUUUUAGGCUUGAAACCCUCUCACAUCCCCUCUUAUAUUACAGAGGCUCUCUCCCUCACCUCUCAGAUAAAUACAUAAUCAGUGUGGACAUAGCCCAAACCUUGGGGUGAACCACGAUACAUCUUGUGUUAUUUACUUUACUUACAGAUUCACGGUUGGAUUUACGUUGUUCCAAGACCUCCGGUUUUGUGCAUCAACAUUUGGCGCCGUCUGUGGGAAUCGAUACGAAAAGUUGUGUCGGUUCUCUUUCAUUUUUUCAUAUCCGCCGUGAAUCUGCGAAAUCACAGAAACCCAGGAACCAUAGUCACUGCAAAACCCAUAUCUCAAAAUGCAGAAAUGAAAACUCUGAAACUCAACCACAGUUUUCUUUCUUUCUCUCUCUCUUGUUUCUGGGGUUGUGUGCUUUUUAGUCAUUGAGAUCUACAUCAAGAUGGGUUGUCCUGUUUUUUCCCACCUCGCUGAAAAAAAAAAACAAAACGAAAAAAAAACGGUAAGCCCAAAAUAAUGGGCUGCAAUGUCAUAUGGAGGAUGAAGGCCCAUAAGCCCAAAAUAGCACCAACCAAGCGACCAAAAGUACGCCCAGUACUACCAAAAUUAUUCGGCAACCUGCCGAUAUUACCAUCAACCAGGUGAUCAAAAAUACGCCCAGUACUUUAAAUUAUACAUGAGCAUUAUUCAUGUCAUUCAUACAUAAACAUUCAUGAGCAUCACUCAUGACAAUCAUACAUAAACAUUCAUAACCAUCAUUCAUGUUAACAUUCAUGAGCAUCACUCAUGACAACAUCCAUGAGCAUCACUCAUGUCAAGCAACAUAAACAUUCAAGAGCAUCACUCAUGUCAAUCAGCUUCAAAAGCUUCAUUUACAGAGCUCUAGCUUCAAAAGCUUCAUUUAUAAAAGCUCCAGCUUCGAAAGCUUCAUUUAUAGAGCUCUAGCUUCAAAGCUUCACUUGCAAAGCUUCACCUACAAAGCUUCAAUGCAGGGUAUACAAAUACAGCCUCCGAACAACCGCUACUUCGGCCCAUACAUAGAUUCAAUUUGAAGUAUCUAGCCAACAGACUCUAUUGACCGAAGACUUGGGGGAUUACAUUAUGUACCAUAUAUUGGGCCUCAACUGGGCCUCAUAAAAAAUACUUUGCGGACUCUAGCCAUCACUUAUGUAUUGAGGAACAAGCCCUUAUUUUAUUAAAAAUGACUCCCUCACCAUCAUUAGAGAGCAUCGCCGCCUACUGAGCAACCGCCUUGCCGCGAGCAUCAACUCUAGCCCAUAUUUAUGUAUUGAGGAGUGAGCCUUUAUACUAUAAAAAAGACUCCCUCACCUUCAAACGCCACAAGCCGAGCCAACCAAGGCAACAUAAGCCACGAGCCGAGCAGCCUCGUAGCGUGUGCUACUUCUAGUUGAGCGUCAUUUCAGAUUGAGCACUGCCUCAUAUCGAGCAUCAGUUCAAGACAGCAUCUAGUUACUUCGGCCCACACAUGGACUGAAUUUCAAGUCUCCAGUCAAAAGACUCUCUUGACUGAAGACUUGGGGGACUACUGUUUAUACCAUAUUUAGGGCCUCGUAUUUGGAGCUCGUAUAAAUACUCGAUGGACUUAAAUAUAAUUAUGUGAUAAAGGAAUGGGCAAAUAUGUAAUAAGUGAGCAGUCCUUAUUCUAUAAAAGGACCCAUCACCCUCCCAAUUAGGGGAGGCCAACUCUUAGGCUUGAAACCCUCUCACAUCCCCUCUUAUAUUACAGAGGCUCUCUCCCUCACCUCUCAGAUAAAUACAUAAUCAGUGUGAACGUAACCCAAACCUUGGGGUGAACCACGAUACAUCUUGUGUUAUUUACUUUACUUGCAGAUUCACGGUUGGAUUUACGUUGUUCCAAAACCUCCGGUUUUGUGCAUCAACAGAAAGUAUUUAAGAAAAUAUGAAAUUAUGGUGUAAGGUAGAAAAUAAUGAGAAUGUAUUUAUAGAAAAGUAAAAUCUUUUUAUUUUUUUCGGAUUUUUUAUUAAUUUUUAACAUUUUUAUUAACUUAAUUUAUUUAUGCCGGUGGAUUAAAAAAAAUUAAAUCCAAUCCUUCAAAUUGUGCCACGUGGCACAAUGAUAAUAUAUCUAAUUUUUUUUCCUUUUUAAAAAAUUUUUAAAGGUGAAUAACGUGGACCAUUAAUCUGAAAUUCAACGACUGAUAUUGUGUCACGUCAUCUAGCCGUUUAGGGGAAGUUUGAAAUUUUUUUUACCGUUGGAAAUCCAACUGUCCAUAAAAAGUAUCCGUUGAAAUCCAACGGACGAGAAGGUCUCACCUGCCCAAGGAAACAGUAACAAUUCAGACACCAUUCGCCGGAAUGUCGACCGCCACCGAUUUACAGCUACAUCCAGGCUAGAGGUUCGAUCGGACGGACGAGGAACUCGUGAACCACUAUUUCUGCCGGAAAUGAAGUCGCCGUUGACUUCUUUCCCGGUGAUCGCCGCUAUCGAACUCUACCAUUACAAACCCUGGGAUCACCCCGGUAAAAUUUCCCCCAAAUUUUCGUCAAAAUCUAAUUUCGAAAUUAAAAUUUGGGGUUGUACAGAUUUCUUCAUUUCUAUGUAUUUGUAAGCGAUUUCUUGUAAUUAAGUUGUUUUAAUGAUUAAUUAAUUUAUAGAUUUCUUACGAUUCUUCCUUAUUUCUUAAUGUUUUAGGGAUAUCUUGUCUAUUUAAUUAUGUUAAUUUAUUUGCGGUGCAGUUUUGACGCUAGACGGAGAGAAAGAGUGGUAUUUCUUUACGCAAAGGAACCGGAGGUACAAGAACGGUUCGAUGCCGAACAGGGCGGCCGGAAGUGGUUAGUGGUACGCGAGCGGAUGCAAGAAGUUGAUUGGGCAUCCGAAAUCGCUGGGGUCCAAAGGCCUUUGGUGUUCAAAAUCGGAAAACGACCGGGAGGCGAAAAGACUAACUGGCUUAUGGACGAGUACAGCCUCGCCGCCGGGAACCGCCCGACUGAGAAGAAGAAAGGCCAAUGGGUACACUAACCUCUCUCUCUCUCUCUCUCUCUCUCUCUCUCUAAACAAUUAGUCCAUUGCAAUUGCAUGGCCGCGAGAGUUCAAUUAGUCCAUUGGAAAAUUGAUUUAAAUUUUGCGACGGGCACGAAGGGUAUUAGCAUAAUUGUCAGGAAAUUAGUAAAUUUCAGCACCCAAACCAACACGUACAAUCCCUUCAAAGAGAAAGUUAAGUCAAAUUCUACAUGAUUCAGUACUUCACCUGGGAGGGUAAGAUCUAACGUUGGUUAAGAUAUAAUUAAGUCAAGGAUUAAUCAUUAAAGCAAGGGGAUAAAAGAUAAUCCCACAAUACAAAGAAGCCUAGAAGGGCAGCUUUCCACAUAAACUUGCAAUUGUCUAAAUUGCUUUCCGGGAAUCAUAUCAUUCACCACUAGUCACAAAAAAAGAUGAAUGAAUGAUGCUGCCCUUUUAGUGGUUUUAAUGACCUUCACUUCCAUCAUUACUUCAACAUAUUUCUGGUUUUUAGUGGUAUUAAUCGACUCAUCAUUCCACUAAUUGGGACUUUGCUCCCACUCAACAUAUAAAGAUUCAACCACCGUAGAAAACCUUUUUCUUCUUCUUCUUAAAAUUACAUCGCUCAUGAAAUUACGACCCAUUUAGUACUAUGGUUUGGUGGUAUUCAUCUUCACUUGUAAGUGAGAGGUCUUGGACUCGAAUCUCGUACAUGGCGAAUUCGAUAAUAAAUUAGGUUGUUUAUUGUGUGGCUUAGCUUAACUCCCCCUUCUCUUAGUGUAAAAUAUAUCAUUGUACUAAAAAAAAUUACGACCCUCAUAAAAUUAUUCGACUUUUUUAUAUUUUUAGUUUAAAGUUUAACAUAAAUAAGCUUAUUACUCUUUUUUUUUUUAAUACGUGCGGCAUUUUAUUUUAAAUUAAUUUUCUCAUUUUCUCUCCCUACACUACACACUUUUGUUGUGUUUUGGCCUUGAACUGAAUGAAUCAAAAGAAAACCUACAUACAAAUGUGUAAUAGAGAUAAGGUGUGUGAAAAACACUUUUCUUUCAUCAUAUGAUUAACUACUAUAAAAAUGCAAGAUAAAAACACGAGAGCUUCAACAGUGUAUCACUACCAUCACAUUUUAUUCAAAACGAGAGUCAUCUUCAUCAAUAAUUUAUCUCAUUUAAUCAUUCAACCAAAAAUCAUACAUUUACAAAAUUGUUCGUGCACUGGCAGAACCACCUUAAAGGCUACCAUGGGCUAUAGCUCAGGUAGCUUUCGGUGAAAAAUAUAUUACAGUUUACAAACCAUCUCUUUUUCUUAAAUCAUUUUUCUCAUCACUUCUUGUACAUAUAUAUUUCAAGUUUGAAUUUUAACACCUAUUUGUUUAGUAAUGAAAAGUUAUUGACUCAACUUGUGAAAAUUUUCUUAAACUGGCCAAUACUGUAAAAAAUACAUUAUCAAGUUUCUUUGGUUAUAAAGAUUUAAAUGUUUAAGCUAGCUCACCGGAUGACAAAUUAUUAACUCGGCUCUUGUGUCCGUAGAGACCAAAUAAUUACAUAAACGACAAAUGGAACUUUUUGUUCUUUUACCUUAACGACUGUUUGGUCACGAUGUUUCAAGAGAUAGCAAGAUUUGGCUGUUGAAUAAACAAAUUGUUUUGGUGGAAUUAACUAAUAAUUAUAUUAUAUAUAUUGGAAGAUCUGUGGUCAGCUUCCUUCCAACAACAACGUGUAAUACUUCGUUGUAUCAGGUUAAUUAACCUCCCCUAGUAAUUAACCAUUAAUUAUCAUGCAAAGCAUGUCUGUUAUGUCUUGUAUUCCAGACUGAUCUACCAGUCCACUCAUAAAUUCCAAUUAAGGUCGAUGCAGAAAAGUAAUUUUGCUUGGACAAUCAUCUAUAUGCGCGGGUAGGGCAAUUUUCAGCUGUUGAUACGGAGCCAACAAUUAAUUAAUGCAACUGCUUGCGCAUCAGCGAUUGUCUCUAACGUGAAUGUAAUUCUAUCGUUUUAAGUGGGAAUAAAAUAGCUUACAAUAGUAACUCGAUGAAAGUAUCACAAAAUAUUGGUCAUUUGUGGCAACAUGAGAGUAAGACUACAAUAGUAGUUCAACAACCAAACUUUUAAAGAUUUCUUUUUUAACUAAAAUAAAUCUAAUGGCAAAUAAUAUCUAUCUUAUUGAAAAAUUUAACAUGUUAUCAAAUUGUUCAUCUAAAGUAUUGAAGAGGUACAUUUUUAUUUAUUAAAGGAGACUUUGAAUGCGGUCCCUAGCUAUAAAUAUUCUUUGAUUGAAACUUUGUUGGUUUUCAAUUUUUGAUCGAAGUCUCUGAAAUUAAUGUGAUAAUUUAUUUCUAUGUACGUUACUAUAUUUUUUAAAUUAAAAAUUAAAAUUUUAGCUAUUUAUGUAAAUGAGAUUUUAAAUAAAAAACCAUAAUUUGUGGGAUUAAAAAUAUUAAAAUAUAAAUAUACUAUUGUGUGUGUGUGUGUGUAAACAUGAGUACAUUCAUCAAAAUUAACCAAAAAAUUAUUGUACCAAAACAUGGGUACAUUCUUCAAAAUCACAAAAAAAAAGAAGAUAUUAGGCUUAAAAAUGGAUUAGAAAAAAAAUUCUUUGAUUAAACUUGACAUGGAUACAUUUAAAAAAAAGAAAAAGAAUGUACCCAUAUAAGUUUAAAAAUGGAUUUAAAAAAAUUGAAUAGAUUACAUAUAAAAAAAAGGGUACAUUUUACAUAUAACAAAUUGAUAUAUUUAAGAAUGAGUACAUUUUAAGAUUAAAAAUUUGAAAAAAUUACAUGAAUGGGUACAUAUAACUAGCAUGGGUACAUUUGGCAAAAAAAAAAAAGAAAGGGAACAAAUAAAUUUAAAAAAAAAGGGUACAAAUACAAAUAAAACUUUAAAAAUAUGGGCACAAAAAGAAAUUAAUAUAUGGGUACAAAUUAAAACUGAAAAGAAAAUUGGUAUAAAUUAAAAAUGGGUACAAACUAAAACAAAAAAUAUAUGAUAAAAAAUUUAGUCAUAAAUAUAAAUAUACUAAUUGUAACAUUUUUAACAUUAAAUGAAUAUAUUAAGAAAUAAAAAAUAUUUUAUUAUUCAAAUAAUUAAUGAUGUUAUUAAUACCCAAGGACCCUGAUAAAAAAUUGAAAAGAAAUAGGAUUUUAAUCAAUGGAAUAGCAAAAGGAAGGAUGAGAACCUAAUUUCUCCUUUAUUAAAUUAUAUAGAGCUCGUUUGAAUGUGCUUUUAAAAUGGCUAAAAGCGCUUUUAGAGAAAAUGUUUUGGUGCUUCUUCCAGGAAGCACUUUAAGUGCUUUUCCAAAAUUUACUUGCAUUUUUACUAAGAAUUGGUUCCAAAAACAUUUUCACCAAAAACGCUUUCAGUCAUUUUAAAAGCAUAUCCAAACAAGCACAUAGUGUUGUUGUUGGAGAUUGUAGCUCAUGGGAUGGUUGUUCAAGAUUGUAUUCUCCUUGGGUCACCUAAUGCUUGACCAAAUGGGUGAUUAAUAUAUCCACAUUAUUUUAUAUAUUUUAUUUAUUUAUUCUUAACGAAUGUUGUAUUUUCUAAAUAGAAUUUUAUGAGCACCAAGUAUUUUAUUUACUGCAUCAUAUUUAUAAUUAUAAUUAUGUGUUAGCGUGUUUUUUUAAGAUGAGACCAAGAAAAAUUAUAACUUACUAUAAUAUAGAGUUUAUUUCAAUACACAAUUGAUUCUAAGUUGAGACCGAAAUUUUUUAUGAUUUUAAAGAGGUUAUUUCAUUAUAGAAUAUUAUUUUAAAAGAGUUUUACUGUAAUAUAUUAUGUUACAUCGCCAAGAUUCAUUCCCUAUAUAUAUAUAUAUAUAUAACUAUUAUUAAUACUCUAAAAAUCUCAAUUCACACUCCUUAUAAGUGUAUUUUUCUUUCUAAUUAUUGAACGUUUGGAGUGCAAAACGAGAGUUUUGGAGUGUCAAUAAUAUUUCCCUAUAUAUAACAAUUACAUAUUUAUAAUAUUAGAUAUUAUUUUAGUAAUUUUUAUUAAUCAUAUAGUAGAUUCCGGACAAUUUAUUAUAUUUAUCAUUGAUCUCCAGGAUUAGAUUUGAUCUUGGUGUGCUUAAUGAAGGUUUAGGGCACUUGGCUAACACUAUGAAACACCAAUUAAUAUGCUGUAAAGUGGAAAAGGAAACCCUUAUUAAUCAACACUAACCUUUACUUGGAUUAGUAAUAACUUCCAUCACACACAAGAAAACUAGACAACUCACAAACCAUCCAUCAAAGUGUUUUUUUUUUAUAAACAAACGAUAAUAUCUCCACUAAGGAGGUGGAAGAAUGGUACAAUAGGCUUGCCAUAAUAAUGUGUUUCAACUUUACUUUUAGUGAGAAUCGAACCUAAAACUCUCACCAAGUGAAGAAGAAUAGCACUAGACCGUGUGGAUGCAAAUUUCCGUCUUCUUCUUCUUGGACAAAAUUGCACCUACAAAACAAUUAACACUUAGGGUCAAGGCCAAGAGCCUCACGCACCCACGAUGAAUGGGGGAGUUUUGGCCGAAGAACCUCCGAUGUCAAAGUUAGAAUUUAGAGAGUUUUUGGAGUUUUACAAGAGUGUCGGAGCUCCCUUUUGGGAGAGAAUGGUGAGCUAUAUAUAAGGAUAUGGCCGGCCCUAUUAGGAGAAUAGGGACAUGCCAUUUAGGUAUUUUUUGGGUGUAAAUUGUGGUUAAUUAGCAAUUAAUAUAUUGAUUAGGAAUAUAUAUAUUAAUUGGCUAAUUAACAUAAUAAAGGAAUGUUUUUGGGAGGUUAUGUAAUUUAUAGCUUAAUUGAUUAGAUAAAAGAGGGAAAAAGAGGUAAAAAUAUUUGGAAUGAGAUAGGUUUUGGGAAUUAUCUUGUAAAAGGGAUUUGAUGAGACGGAUUUUGAAUUGUUACAUUUUUUGGGCAUUUUUGACUUGGUUGAGAGAUGAUUGUACGCUGCUCGCGCGUAAGAAUCCCGAUAUGCAUCAAGGGUGUUUUUGUCCUCUUUUAUCCAAAAUCCACGUGUCGCUUUGUAAUUAUUUUUGGUUCCACAAACCGUAGUACUAAGUGACUCCAUCAAAGUAUUCUCAAACCCUUUACCACAACAAGUGAUUCAGUGAUAAGGACGCAGACUGCGGCUCCCCAAUAAACCAAAAAAAAAAAAAUUAUGAUUUACCACAAAUUGUUCCCUUUUUGAAAAGAAAAAGAAAAAAGUAUUCUCAAACCCCUUACGUUUACCAUUUUAUCCUUGUCCCACGUAGGCAAGGAAGAAAAUAUCAAUAAUAUCGGCGAUAUAUCGCCGAUAUUAUCGGUUUUUCCCCAAACCGAUAUUUUAAGUGGUAUCCAAGGGGUUUUCCUCAAAAUUUCGCGAUAAUAUCGAUAAUAUCGCGAUAUUAUCGAUAUUAUCGUGAAAUUUCGGAACUGUGCAAGUCGGAGACGAACGCCGGAGCUUCUACAGCUCCGGCCGACUGUAAAACAACCCCCUAGACUCCAAUCUAGGUAUGAAAAUGAAAUAGAAGACGAGAUGAACGUUUUUAUAACGUCCGUUUUCCGUGAAACGGCCGGAGGUGUUCGGAAAGUUCGUCGACACCCACGGCCUCACCGGAGAUGGGUGUGCCUAUUCCCGAGUCAAUUUCAUCCCAAAAACCUUGCCAAAAGAUGAGAUAGAACUUCAAUUUCACAUCUAAGCUUCGAUCUAGAACAUAAAAAGAAAAACCCGAAGCUUACCUAACCGGAGAAAUUGAAGGAACUCGCCGGAGGGUUCCUGUGUUCGCCGAGUUGCAGAGACGAGAGGAGAGGGAGAAAGACGAGGGUUCCUGUGUUCGCCUGAUCUAACGAAUGAUCAAUCUGGAGUGGUACGACGACGAGGAGAUAGAGGAGGGGGAAAAGGAAGAGGAAGGGGAAGGCGACGUCGUAAAGGCGGAGUCGUCGUCUUCGAUUAGCUUCUCCGAUUUGACGAAAUCGAUGACGAUAGCGUCUAGGGCUUCCCAAUUAAUUGGCGUCGAGUCCAUUUUUUGGAAUUUUCUAGGAAAAUUUUGGACUGUUUGGUUGGAAGGAAAAUGACUAGAGAAAGAGAGAGAGGUGGAGGCUCGGAGGGGAAAAUAUUAUGUGAAACGAAGGGAAGACACGAGGUCUUUCGUAAAUUAGAGGGCAGAGAGGUGCGAGUAAUGUUAGUGUCACCGUGUGGGUGAUUUAGGUUUUUUACUGACUUGUACGUGGACGUCUUGAGGUGUGCAAAAUAUCUAAUCUGAUAUGAUUUGAUCUGCGCACAUUUGACGUAUACGGAUCUGGAAAAUAUAUAUAACAAAAUGGUAAUUUUCUUAUUUUUUUUUUAUAUAAAGAAUGAGUACAUUAUAAAUAAGUUGUGAUUACAUAUGUGUUUGUGAUUACAUAUUCAGCCUGUAAUAUUUAUAUGGUCGUUAAGAUGUCUGCAAGGCUUGCAAGCUAAUAUUUAUUAUCUAGGAUAAAUUUCUAUAUUUAAAAAAAAACACCAGGGGAUUCGAACCCCUCCCAUUUUACUCCUUCAACAUAGUGAAAAUUUUGAACCUCAUAAGAAUUCUAUGUGGUACUAAGUCACUCAUGUAUCUUACCAUACAAUGUAUAAAGUGUAAAAUAUUGUACUAAUUCAUUAUAUAUAAAUGAUUAUGGUGUGUUUAAACUUCUUUCAUUAAUUACUAUAUAUUUUCUACACUCACAAUGUUUGCCAACUCGCUAUAUAAUCAACUUAAAUCAGUUAAAUCCAUUAUGCAAUGCAUUUCCUUCCAAUUUUUUGUGAUAAAUUAAUAGAUAAUUGACUAAAUAAACAUCCUGCAAAGUUUCAAUAAAAAUUUCCAAGUUUUUCUUACAAUUUCCGUGGUUUCCAUGUAAUUUUUAUCGAUAUCGAUAUUAUCCCGAUAUUUCCAUCGAUAUUUCCGUGUUUUCGGACUACCGAUAUUUUCUUCCUUGCACGUAGGGAACAUUUUACCAUACUGGUAACUCAAAACAAAAUUUCACUAGACGACAACACCAUGGUAACUGAAAACAAAAGUAUCCCCAUCAGAAUUAAAAGAAAAAAAAAUACAAACAAAUUAUUUACUUAGAAAAAUCCAAGCUAGCACAAAUUCCGAAGAGCAAACAAUUGGCUUAACUUACCGGCUGAGCCCCUCACCCAAUUGCUUUCUUUAUGUUCUAACCAACCUUCCCAUUACCAAAAGAUCAAAACUUUAGUAUGCACCCCUUUAUAAUAUAAAUUAAUAUGAGAGCUGCUAAACCCACCCCGUUGUCUUAUUUCCCCACCUACGUUAUAUUUACACCCACUAUAAAAAGUUAAAAAAUUAAAAUGUUAUUUUCUCACCCACUAUUAUUCCUAAAAUAACCCUAUAUAUAAUUAGAGAUAAAUUUCUCUAAAAUUUAAUGAAGCUACUCCCCAUUAAUUCAGAAAACAAUAAACCCCAGUGAUAAACCAUAAACGAAAUUGACCAAAAAGGAACAACCUCGGAUACAGCAGCAGCAGCAAUACAUGUUCAUUGCCUGUAUACUUUUUUUAGUCACAUUGUUGUCUGUUUUGUUUCUAAUGGGAUAAAUUUUCACAAUUCAGUACCAACUACGAAGAGCUUCGCUAACAGAGGAUGAUGCCCUUGCAUUUCUAAAGGCUGAUAAUCUUGGUGAUUACAGAACCUAUUCAAGUUUCUGUGGAACACUUCGACGGGUUCGAUAUCAACUAACCAAUUGGAAAAUUUACUAAAAGGCAAAGAUUCAGAGCAAGAUUGUGACGCUGUUCGUGGAACCUCCUCAGCCCUCGCUAACAGGUUCGAUAUCAAUUAACCAAUUGCAAAAUUUUCCCUAACCUAAUUAAAACAAUUCCAACAAAUUCUAGGAAUUCUCAUAGGAAAACAUGAAACAAAUUGUACCCUAUAACCUAAUGCAAAUUCAAAUAAAAAGUCACAGAGCUAUGCUUCAAUUAUUUAUGUCGACGAAUCAAGAUGGUCCACAUAAAAUUAUCUUUUACCUGUUCGACGGAAACAUAGUCAUCUACUUGUUCUAUAGAAAUGUUAUCUUCUAAAUUCAUUCUUUUUGCUUUCUUUGAAUGAAAGGGGAUGAAAAGGAUGAGUUAGGGUUUAUGGGAGACAAAUUUUCUAAACUUUUCUUUUUUAUAAAAAAAAAAUUAAUGCAAAAAGGAGUAAGUAAGGUCCAUAUUAGUCAUUUUACAAAUGGAUAAAUUUGUAAUUAAAAAAUUCAUAAAAAGGUGGGUGGGGAAAUAAGACACCGGGGUGGGAAUAUCACCACUCAUUAAUAUUCAAGUGCCACAUAAUUUUUUUUUUCUCAAAUAAGUCCUCAAAUUUAAAAAAGAACUGUUAUUAGCACUUUAUAAUUCUUAUUUUGCACUCUUUUGAAGUGUGUGUGUGUGUGUAUAUAUAUAUAUAUAUAAUUUUUUUUUACAAGAGGACAAGUGGUGUCAAACCACGAUUAUUCACCAAUUUGGGGCCCGGAGAGGCUAUGGGGAAUUUUACCCUGUCCGUAACAACAUUUAAGUAGACUUACUAACUCGGGGUAUCGAACUUGGACCUCCCACAUUUAUUUGUUUAUUGGGAACCUCCCAUAUUUUUUUAAAGUAUAUUUUCUUUCUAAAUAUAAAAAAUUUAAAGUGCGAAAUGAAAAUUUUAGAUUACUAAUAAUAAAUUCACAUUAAAAAAUAGUAACAUUUUGUAAAUUUAGAGACUCACUGUCCCACUUCUUUUUAUUAUCAUAAUUAGUCUUUCUCAACUUUUUUUUUUCAAAGUUAAAAUAUUAAAAAAAGCUCACUUGAUGGAAAAUAGUAAAUAAAUACUAAGAUUUGUUGAAUAUGUUGGAGCAAAAUUGUAACAAAUUUUAGUUUUCAAAUUGAAAUUGGCAUAUGGUCCAACAAAUUUGUAUUUGUAGAAACUGUUGCUGAUGAUAUAAAGGUUUGUUUACUUAUUAGUAAUGCGAUGAAAAAAAGGAAUAGGUUCCUUUCAUGAUUUUUCUUGUGUUUACUUGCAUGUAAUUGGAUUACCUAAAACUCGUUAUGAAAAUAACCCAAUUUCAAGAAUUUGAUUAGCUAGAGGGAGGUGUUUAUCCAAUUCCCUAUCUUUACUUUUUCUCAUUUCGAAGAUAUUUGGUUUGUUAAUUCCCCAUUACUAAUAAGUAAACGAGGCAUAAAUUUUUAGCAGUUAAAUAUUCUCUGAUUGCUAAAUGUUAACGCAUAAAGAAAUUUAUAAUAAAAUGUAUUGCACAUUGGCAUAGUCUUAUUGGGUAUUGAAUUCCACAUAUAUUUCAAGAGACGACAUAUAAGUUUUAGGGAAAAGAAAAAGUCCACAAGUCAAAGUUAAACAAAUUUUAAAUUUCAGAAAAUAAAAUAAUAAUUUUUUAGUUUAAUUAAAAAAAUUUCAAAAAGUGUAGCUAAAAAUAAAAAAAAACUAAUAAAAAGGGUUUGAAAACUUUGAGUUUUAACGAAAAUGACAAAAUAAAGGGUAAAGUGUAUAGUACUGGGAUUGAUUUUUUAAUGUAAAAAUAUAAUUUUUCGUUAAAAUAAACAAUACAAAUAAUUUUUCGUUAAAGUUCUUUAAAAAUAAUCUAUCUACAAAUCGAAAAAAAAUUGGGUAAAAAGACACAGGACAAAGAAAAAAAUAAAAAACCAAAAAUGCACACACAUGGAAAGGAAACGAAAAGACUAAAGACUCUCUCUCUUACUCUGUCCUCCCACCAUUUCCACACUCACUUUCUCUCCAUCGGCUUCUUCUUCUUUCUUCGCGUAGCUCCCGCGUCCAGGUCGUUCGAGGGCACUGAAUCUAUUUCUAGGUAUUUUUGUUUGGGGAAUCACAAUUUUACGCAUUUUUGUUUCGAACAAUUUGUGUAAAAUUUGAUUUGCAAAUGGACGAUUUUAUUGCCCUAGAUUCUGUGAUGCUGCUGUGAUCUGAUCUUGGAACUAGUCCUUAAUUGUAUUUAAUUCUUGUGUUUCUGUAAAUUUGCAAUUAGUUACGUUGUUUGUACUGAAUUUUAGUUAAUCCAAUUGGUAAAUUUUGCUAACUGUGAUUUGUGGGCAUGAAGAUCUGAUCAUUUGGUUCAAUUUUGGAUUGUUUUUUUGGUGUGCAGAGUGUUGGGUUCGAUUUGGAGUGGGAAGUGAGUUUGCAUUGUGUGGGGUUGCACUGUAGCAUUGUGCCUUUUUGAACAGUGUUAGUGUGUUUGUAAAGUAAAUGUGUUUGUGUUGAAGGAGGGCUGGUAUUGGAUGGUGAGGUGAUGAUGUGAUGCUACUUAGGCAGAGAAACUGGGUUUUAGGAUUGUCGGAAGGAGGGGAGUUCUUCGACAUUUGCAUUAUUGGUGGACUGAGGUAUUUUUCUUUGAUCUCCAUAAGUUGUAUUUGUUUCGUAUUUAUCUGGUUUUUGAAAAUUUUCAUGUCGGGCAAAGUACCUUUUUUAUAAUUCGGUUGUGAUCUUUAAGGGCCAUGAUGAUUUUCUUUUUCGUGCUUUUCAAUAGGGAUAAAAAUCAAAGAGAGGGAAUAGAGAUGAAAGGAAGGAGAGGAGAGGGAGCAAGAGAGCAAAAAUAUAUAUAGAAUGAAACCAAAAACCUUAUAGUUGUUUUUAAUUUGUGUUAAAAGUCAUUAGAUGUAUUUUCCUUAUUAAACAAAAAAAACCAUUACCAUAGUUUUGAUGAAAUAUUGUGAAGUAUUUGCAGCUUCAGGUCACCCAAUUUUAAGGUUGUUUCAUUUGAUGAACAAUUAAAAUAUUUUAAUUUUCAGGUGGGCAAGGAGAAAUAUGAAAGUGGCAUACGGUGCAAAUGUCAAAGUCUCCCUCCCCUAAACUGCGACCCAUAUCUUCUUCUACUUCACAGUCUAGGUUAGACAUGUUCUAUUUGCUUGGUCUCUUUAACUGUGGUGACAAAUUGGUCUUUGAUAGUUCAGAAAAUGAAUGAUGCACUGAUAAAUUUACUUGAGUGCUCCUUAAGUUUUUUAUUUUUUUUAUUUUUAUCCCAGUCUUUAUAAAUAAGCUGGAGAAACAAAAUCGAUUCUUCUUAAACUCUUUAGUUGCACAAUUGUUGAUUAUUCCUUUGCAAUAUAUUCAAAUGGUUCAUAUUUCACCCAGGGUUUUAAAGGAACCAGCAAUGGAUGAUGAAGAAGGUACAAUGGCAAGAGUUGCUCAAUUUGUCGAGCAACUACAUGCCAGCAUGUCUACACCGAAAGAAAAAGAACUUAUUACAGCUCGAUUGCUUGGUAUUUCCAAAGCAAGAAAGGAUGCAAGAGCAAUUAUUGGUUCGCAUUCCCAGGCAAUGCCAUUGUUCAUAAGCAUUCUCAGGAAUGGCACCCCUGCGGCAAAAGUUAAUGUGGCUGCAACUUUGAGUGUCCUGUGUAAAGAUGAAGACUUGCGUCUUAAAGUACUUCUAGGCGGAUGCAUCCCCGCUUUACUCUCACUUUUGAAGUCUGAAUCAAUUGAGGCUAGGAAGGCAGCAGCAGAAGCUAUAUACGAAGUUUCCUCUGGUGGGCUUUCAGAUGAUCAUGUAGGCAUAAAAAUAUUUAUUACAGAAGGUGUAGUACCAAACUUGUGGAAUCAACUCAAUCCAAAGAGCAAGCAGGACAAAGUGGUUGAAGGUUUUGUGACAGGGGCUUUGAGAAAUCUUUGUGGUGACAAGGAUGGUUACUGGAGAGCAACACUUGAGGCUGGUGGAGUAGAUAUCAUUGUGGGUCUUCUGUCUUCUGACAAUGCUGCUGCCCAGUCCAAUGCUGCCUCCCUUUUGGCCCGUCUUAUGUUGGCUUUCAGUGAUAGCAUCCCCAAAGUAAUAGAUUCUGGAGCUGUCAAAGCUUUGCUUUGGCUUGUGGGUCAGGAAAAUGAUGUUUCUGUUCGUGCUAGUGCUGCUGAUGCUCUGGAAGCCCUUUCUUCAAAGUCAACUGGGGCUAAAAAGGCUAUUGUGAAUGCAGAUGGUCUUCGAGUUCUAAUUGGGGCUAUAGUUGCUCCAUCUAAAGAAUGCAUGCAAGGUGAGUGUGGGCAGGCUCUUCAAGACCAUGCCACACGGGCUUUAGCAAAUAUUUGUGGCGGGAUGUCUGCUUUAAUUUUGUAUCUUGGAGAACUUUCACAGUCACCUCGCCUAGCUGCCCCGGUUGCUGAUAUUAUUGGAGCUCUUGCAUACACACUGAUGGUCUUUGAGCACAAUUCUGGUGCGGAUCAGGAUUCUGUUAAUGUAACAAAGAUAGAGGAUAUUCUUGUAAUGCUGCUAAAGCCUCGGGACAAUAAGCUUGUUCAAGAGCGUGUCCUUGAGGCCAUGGCUAGUCUAUAUGGCAACAACUAUCUCUCCAGUUGGCUCAAUCAUGCACAGGCAAAGAAGGUGCUCAUUGGACUUAUAACAAUGGCUGCUGUUGACGUGCAAGAGUAUCUUAUACCCUCUUUGACAAGCUUAUGCUGUGAUGGUGUUGGAAUAUGGGAGUCCAUUGGCAAGAGAGAAGGAAUUCAGUUACUUAUUUCACUGUUGGGGUUAUCCAGUGAGCAGCAUCAAGAAUAUGCUGUUCAGUUGCUGGCCAUCUUAACUGACCAAGUUGAUGACAGCAAGUGGGCUAUUACUGCUGCCGGUGGGAUUCCUCCUCUGGUACAGUUAUUAGAGACGGGUUCUCAGAAGGCGAAAGAGGAUGCCGCUCAUGUGUUGUGGAAUUUGUGCUGUCACAGUGAAGAUAUCCGUGCAUGUGUUGAAAGUGCAGGAGCCAUCCCAGCAUUUUUAUGGCUUCUGAAAAGUGGUGGGUCAAGAGGACAAGAAGCAUCAGCCAAGGCACUCACAAAGCUUGUCCGGACAGCUGAUUCUGCUACCAUUAAUCAGUUGUUAGUUUUGCUCCUCGGUGACUCUCCAAGCUCAAAGGCCCACACUAUCAGGGUAUUGGGUCAUGCACUCAUAAUGGCCUCACACAAGGAUCUUGUGCAUAAAGGUUCAGCAGCUAAUAAAGGGCUGAGGUCUCUUGUCCAGGUUCUCAAUUCAUCAAAUGAAGAAACUCAAGAGUAUGCUGCUUCUGUCCUAGCUGAUCUAUUCAGCACAAGACAAGAUAUUUGUGAUACUCUUGCUACUGAUGAGAUCGUGCAUCCUUGCAUGAAGCUAUUGACCAGCAACACACAAGGUGUUGCAACACAAUCAGCUCGAGCAUUGGGUGCUCUGUCCCGUCCUAUGAAGACCAAACCAAGAAGCAAGAUGUCUUAUAUUGCAGAAGGUGAUGUCAAGCCCCUUAUCAGACUUGCUAAAACUUCUUCCAUUGAUGCUGUUGAAACUGCAGUUGCCGCACUUGCCAAUCUUCUCUCUGAUCCCCAGAUUGCUGCAGAAGCCCUGGCAGAAGAUGUUGUUUCAGCUUUGAUAAGAGUACUGGGUGAUGGAACUUCAGAAGGUAAGAAGAAUGCAUCCCGUGCGCUUCAUCAAUUGCUGAAGCAUUUUCCAAUAGGUGAUUUGCUCACAGGAAAUGCUCAGUGUCGUUUUGCUAUGCUUGCUAUUGUUGAUUCCUUAAAUGCAUUGGAUAUGGAUGGGACUGAUGCUGCGGAUGCUUUAGAAGUAGUUUCCCUUUUGGCUAGAACAAAACAGGGCGUGAACUUCACUUACCCUCCAUGGUCUGCCCUUGCUGAAGUUCCAUCAAGCUUAGAACCUCUUGUUCGCUGCCUGGCUGAAGGGCCUCCCCCGCUUCAGGAUAAGGCAAUAGAAAUUUUAUCUAGGCUUUGCGGUGAGCAGCCAGUUGUGCUUGGUGAUCUAUUGAUUGAAAGAUCAAGCUCUCUUGGUUCACUAGCUAACAGGGUAAUGAACUCAUCUAGUCUAGAAAUCAGAGUUGGAGGAGCUGCAUUACUUAUUUGUGCAGCAAAAGAGCACAAACAGAAGGCACUCGAAGUACUUGAUGUGUCAGGAUAUUUGGAACCAUUAACGUAUGCUUUAGUGGACAUGGUGAAGCGAAAGUCUAGCUGCUCCUUUCCAGAAAUUGAAGUCAGAACUCCUAGAGGUUUUAUUGAAAGAACUGCAUUCCAUGAAGGUGAUGAGUUUGAUGUCCCUGAUCCAGCCAUUGUUUUGGGGGGUACUGUUGCCUUGUGGUUGCUAUGCAUAAUUGGUUCCUUUCAUGCCAAGAGCAAACUCACCAUUAUGGAAGCUGGUGGUCUUGAGGUUCUAUCUGAAAAGCUCGCAGGUUACACUUCCAAUCCACAGGUAUUAACUAAUUAGCUUCAUAGUUGUAGUUCCAUGUUUAGAUACUUUUUGGUACAGAUAUUUGAAAUAUAAAUUUUUGUAGCUUACUAGAUUGGUCAUCUUUAUGAACAGGCAGAAUAUGAGGAUACAGAAGGUAUAUGGAUUAGUGCCCUGGUCCUGGCUAUUCUGUUUGAAGAUGCAAAUGUUGUUCUGUCACCUGUAACAAUGCGCAUCAUUCCUUCACUUGCUCUUCUUUUGAAAUCGGAUGAGAUGAUUGAUAGGUUCUUUGCUGCCCAGUCAAUGGCCAGUCUUGUUUCUAAUGGUAGUAAAGGAAUAAUUCUUGCCCUUGCAAAUUCGGGUGCUGUUGUUGGAUUGAUAACUCUUAUUGGUUAUGUAGAGUCCGACGUGCCUAACCUUGUUACUUUAUCAGAAGAGUUUUCUCUGGUGCGAAAUCCUGAUCAAGUUGUUUUGGAGUGCCUUUUUGAUUUUGAAGACAUAAGAGUUGGAUCAACAGCACGUAAAUCCAUACCUCUCUUGGUGGAUCUCUUGAGACCAAUGCCAGAACGGCCCGGUGCCCCUCCAAUUGCUGUUAAACUCUUGACUCGUAUCGCCAAUGGAAGCGAUACAAAUAAGUUAAUUGUGGGUGAAGCUGGAGCUCUGGAUGCUCUGACAAAGUACCUGUCUCUGAGUCCACAAGACUCCACCGAAGCCACAAUAACUGAAUUAUUCAGAAUUUUAUUUAGCAAUCCUGAUCUCAUUCGAUAUGAAGCAUCAGCUAGUUCGUUGAAUCAACUCAUAGCUGUUCUGCGACUGGGUUCAAGAAAUGCAAGAUAUAGUGCUGCCAGAGCUCUUCAUGAACUAUUUGGUGCUGAGAACAUUAGAGAUUCUGAUUUAGCCAGGCACUCAAUUCAGCCAUUGGUUGACAUGCUUAAUGCUGCAUCAGAGAGUGAACAAGAGGCUGCCCUCAUUGCAUUAAUAAAGUUGACUUCAGGAAAUUCUUCUAAAGCAGCUUUGUUGACUGAUGUGGGGGGAAACCCAAUGGAGAGUUUGUACAAAAUACUGUCUUCUGCUUCAUCCUUGGAAUUAAAGAGAACUGCUGCACAACUCUGUUGUACUUUGUUUGUUAAUACUGAAGUCAGAGGAAAUCCAAUUGCCUCAGAAUGCAUAGAGCCCCUUAUAUCACUGAUGCAUGCUGAUGCUACUACAGCUGUAGAAGCUGGAGUUUGUGCUUUUGAAAAAUUGUUGGAUGAUGAACACCGGGUGGAGCUUGCAAUGGCCUAUAAUGUUGUGGAUCUCCUUGUUGGAUUAGUUUCUGGAACAAGCAUGCAGCUCAUUGAGGCCAGUGUCUGUUCUCUCAUAAAGUUAGGGAAAGACCGGACCCCAUGCAAAUUGGAUAUGGUAAAUGCUGGAAUCAUUGAUAAAUGUCUUGAACUACUACCUGUUGCACCCAGUUCAUUAUGCUCUUCCAUAGCUGAAUUGUUCCGCAUUUUAACAAAUAGUAAUGCAAUUGCUAGAAGUUUGGCUGCUGCACAAAUUGUAGAACCUCUUUUUAUAGUUUUACAACGUCCAGAUUUCAAUUUAUGGGGACAGCACAGUGCAUUACAAGCACUAGUAAAUAUUUUGGAGAAGCCACAGAGCCUUGCAACGUUAAAGCUUACACCUAGCCAAGUGAUCGAGCCUCUUAUUUCAUUUCUGGAAUCCCCAUCUCAAGCCAUUCAGCAGCUUGGCACAGAAUUGCUAUCUCAUCUUCUUGCACAAGAACAUUUUCAGCUAGAUAUUACAACAAAAAAUGCAGUUGUUCCACUCGUUCAGCUUGCUGGAAUUGGAAUAUUAAACUUACAGCAGACAGCGGUAAAGGCAUUGGAAAUAAUCUCCACAAGCUGGCCAAAGGCAGUUGCCGAUGCUGGUGGUAUAUUUGAGCUUGGAAAGGUUAUUAUUCAAGAUGACCCUCAGCCACCUCAUGCCCUGUGGGAAUCAGCUGCUUUAGUUCUCUCAAAUGUUCUGCACUUCAAUGCUGAAUACUAUUUUAAGGUUCCUGUGGUGGUUCUUGUUAAAAUGUUGCAUUCAACAGUGGACAGCACCAUCACGGUGGCCCUCAAUGCGUUGCUUGUUCAUGAAAGGAGUGAUAAUUUAAGUGCUGAACAGAUGACUGAUGGUGGUGCUAUAGAAGCCUUGUUGGACCUUUUACGGUCUCAUCAAUGCGAAGAAGCAUCUGGAAGAUUACUUGAAGCUCUAUUUAACAAUGUCAGGAUACGACAAAUGAAGGUCUCUAAGUAUGCAAUAGCACCACUAUCACAGUAUCUGUUGGAUCCACAAACCAAAUCAGAGUCUGGAAAACUUCUUGCUGCUCUUGCUCUUGGAGACCUUUCCCAACAUGAAGGGCUUGCAAGAGCCAGAGAUUCCAUUUCUGCAUGUCGUGCAUUGGUAAGCUUGCUUGAAGAACAGCCAACAGAAGAGAUGAAAAUGGUGUCAAUUUGUGCAUUGCAAAACUUCGUCGUGAACAGCCGAACGAAUAGGCGAGCUGUCGCAGAAGCAGGGGGCAUACUGAUUAUUCAAGAACUACUACUGUCUCCCAAUGCAGAAACUGCUGGGCAGGCAGCAUUGCUUAUCAAAUUUUUGUUUUCUAAUCACACACUCCAAGAGUAUGUAUCAAAUGAACUUGUCAGAUCUUUGACAGGUAAUUCACGUUUGCAUCAUUAUUUGGUUUCGAAUGCUGAUUUUUCCCCUAUAAACUAAAAGACUGACAUAUGAUAUUCAUCAACUUCCCUUUAUUUCUUUCUUCUGUUGACUUUUUGGAUCCCAUGCCGUGUCUUGCAGCUGCAUUGGAGAGAGAGUUGUGGUCCUCAGCAACUAUUAAUGAAGAGGUCUUGAGAGCCUUACAUAUGAUAUUCAUCAACUUCCCAAAGCUCCAUAUUUCUGAAGCAGCCACUCUCUGCAUUCCCAAUUUGAUCGGGGCUCUUAAAUCUGGUAGCGACACGGCUCAGGAUGUUGUUUUGGACACCCUUUCCCUGUUGAGACAUUCUUGGUCAACCAUGCCAAUAGAUAUUGCAAAGUCUCAGGCUGUGAUUGCUGCUGAAGCCAUUCCCAUCCUACAAAUGCUCAUGAGAACCUGUCCUCCAAGUUUCCAUGAGAGAGCAGACAGCCUGUUGCAUUGCUUACCAGGUUGUUUGACGGUUACAAUUAAGCGGGGCAACAACCUUAAACAGGCCAUGGGAGGCACAAAUGCUUUUUGUCGAUUGACAAUAGGCAAUGGCCCUCCUCGACAAACCAAGGUAAUGGUUCCAUAGACUAGUUAUGUACAACAUGAAAAAAAAGAAACUGUCUAUUGCAUAACCUACAUGUUUGGAUUCAAUCAUUUUUCUUCUUUUCAUUCUUUUCCUCCAUUUACGAGGUACGGUUGAAGCCUCUUUAGAGCACCUGACAAAUCUUAGGGGUACCCUUAAUCCCAUAAACACUGGAUAUUGGAUAUUAUACUAUUGCUACUGCGACGACUUUGCAGCAUCUAAAAUCUGCAAUAGAAUUUUGAUAACAUAGCAAUGCCUGCAGGUUCCCUACAGUAUAUUGGUUUUGUGAAAAUUUACCGAUUAUUAUUUUUAUUUGAACGAAAAUUUUAUUUUAUUGGUCUAUUUAUAAAUAGAAAGAGUGAGCAUAGUGCAUUUGACUACAACUCUACUGUUUCAAAUUAAGUUUCAUGUUGUGCAUAUAAUUUGUGAUGUUUUAUUAUCCUCUCUAUGCUUACAGCUUUACGUUAUACACAAUGUUGUUUUGACACUAGGUAGUGAGCCACAGUACCUCUCCUGAGUGGAAAGAAGGCUUUACGUGGGCAUUUGAUGUGCCUCCAAAGGGACAGAAACUCCACAUCAUUUGCAAAAGCAAAAAUACCUUCGGAAAGGUAAUUACUUUUCUUUUUAGAUUUGCAAAUCGCAAGCAGGAUGAGUUAAUCAUUCUAUUUUGUUAUUUAAUUUUUAAUUAUCAUGAAUUGUUUGUGUUCGACCGAUGAGAAAGAAGUUAAAUGGUCUUGUUUCCUGUAAGGCUUUUGAUUGUUGACCUAUAGUUUUAAUAGGGUGGGUUUAAAUCUCACCAAUCAAUAGUGAACGGGCGAUAACUCUGGUUUAAAUCUUACACAUGAUUAGUAAACUUUCCUGCCAUUUUGCUUUUCAUUUCGUGAUAGUGGUUGGUGAGCCUUGUGUUUUUCUUUUGUUUCUCAGACAACUCUGGGAAGAGUGACGAUCCAAAUUGACAAAGUCGUUAGUGAAGGAGUAUACAGUGGAUUGUUUAGUCUAAAUCAUGACAGCAACAAAGAUGGGUCUUCCCGUACACUAGAAAUCGAGAUUAUCUGGUCAAACAGAAUGGCUGAUGAAGAAACAUGAACGAGUACUGAGGUCUGGUGCGGCGCAGUCUCCUCAUAAGGCCGGGAAUGCCGGAUUGAUUAUCCAAAAGGGGGAAAGGAGGCUGGCUUGCUUGUAAUUAAUUAGUUUUUGUGUUUUGAAGGUCCAGUUUUGUAGUUUGAAAUAUUUAAGCUGCUUCAGGUUAUUGUAAAUUAAAUAUGAUAUAGCUUGCGGAUUUGAUAGAGUGGAAAUGCAUUCCCACGUUUUAAGGGAAGCUAGAAGUUGAAUAGAAGUUUGUACAGGUCAGCCUGCAGGUGCUUGCAACUCAAAGAUUUUAAUAAGAUUGGAGUUCGAAUUUCAAUGGUUUCCCAGGAUUCUGCUCAAGUUUCAAAACUAGACACCAGGUUAUAUAACAUCCUGACAUCCGCCUGACGUUUGCAUUAACGGAGUAAUAGACCAAAUGCCGGCAUCUCGUAAGUACAUUGGCAACAUGAAGCAAAACCCGCAGAUUAGACGAGCACAACUACUUGGCAGCAGCAACAAGUGCCGAUCGAGCUUUUGUGAAAGUGGCUAUCAGUGAUCCGAGUUGCAACUUAUCGUUGCACCCAAAGGUCAACCUGUACCUGCAAACGUAUAAACACUGAUUAGUGUAAAUUCAGCUUAUAGCCGGUUCCAGUUUUAAGUUUUAACAGUCAAUUUGCAAGUUGAACAAAAUUACAAUCUUCGGUAUCAUAUAUUGGCAAAUAAUUUCCACAAAACGCAUUAUUUCCUUCUCCACUUUUCUGAACAAAACCAAUGCACCCUAUUGUUUAUUAUGUUGUGACCAAGUACGGCCAGUACCAUGUUGCAAUGAACUUGGCCGCCUAAUUUGUAGAGUCCAUAACGAAUAAGCAAAUGAAAACAGUGCAAGACCAAAUACUUACUCUAUGUCAGCUAAAUCAUUAAUCAACUGAACGCGAACACCUGCUGGCAUCUUAAUCUUAAAAAUGAACCUGUUCAAAGAAAGCAAUGUAGGUGAGAGACGAAGCAAACAAAAUGACAUGAGAAAAUGUAGAAAAAUGUGUAACACUUACAUGGUCACUUCUCUUACAAUAUCUAUCAAAGCCAAUCCUUUUCUUGCAUUCAUAUCAGAUAUUGCUGCAAUACAUCAAGUGUGCAAAGUAAAUACUAAAUAACUCUUCCCAGUGACAUACUGUUCCUUCCUUGAGAAUAGAAUAAGUACAUAAAUAAAUAAGACGGUUGAAUACUUUUGAAACUCCCAGCAAAUGAUUCGUUCAAAAGCCAGUAAGACAUUUGCUCAAUAUCUUUGGGCAAUGGAUUUCCUGUGCAUAGAUAUACUGCUUCUUCAGUUAUCUGCUGUGAAGCCAUAUGAGUUGACUGCAUACAUUGAAAUAGGAAUGACGUCAAGAUCUAUUCGUGAAUUUAAAAAAAAAAAAAAAAAAAAUCAAAUCCAUGGGACAGGUAAUUUGAGUUUCUGCUAAAAUAUAUAUUUUACUUCUAGAGUCCUAAUAUUGGAGACCAUUUACAAUGCUCAUCUGAAGGCAUCAAGUAAAAAAGGGUUAUUUCUCUAUCCCGCCAUUUUAUGAAUCAAUACAUUCAGAUUUUAAACAGCAAAAGAGAAAGGGGAAAAGACAAAUGUAACAUCUGUAGAGAUUAUAACCUGCAAAAUGUUCAAAGCCUUUCUCAUGUCACCAUUGCUAAGCCCUACAACUGCCGCUAAACCACUCGCAGGCACAUCAAGCCUAGUCCAAUCAAUAAAUGUCAACUUAUCAAUAUAUUUCUGACUGAAGCCAGACAUCAAAAGCUACGACCAUAAUGUUUACUAGUGAACCACAGUUCUAUAAGUUUAUUUGCCUUGACUACCCAAUGACAUGUUUAGAAUAUUUCAUUGUUCUUGAAGCAUUUCAAACCAAUAUACAGGGAAAAAUGCGGGUAAGAGAACAGUGCUUACCCUUCAGCUUCUAUAACAUGUUUAAGUCUCUCUGAGACAUGAAACUCCUCAAGUGGAGCAAAUCGAAAACGAGUACAUCUGGAUUGUAAUGCUGGAAUAAUCUUGUUGACAUGAUUGCAGAUUAGUGAGAACCUAGUGCUCUUUGUGUAUUUCUCAAUCACUGCACCAAAACAAAAGUACAGAAGAGAAAAGUAUCAGUGAAAUAACUUCGAACUGAGAAAACCUACUGCAUUAAAACAAUUUAUACCUCUUCGCAAAGCAAAUUGAGCAUCCUUUGUCAUAGCAUCUGCCUCAUCAAGCAAGACCAUUUUGACAGAUGACUUUGCACUCUCACCCCUAAACAGACAUAGUCAGACUAUAAGUUUUGAUUACAAGGCUAAUUGUUAUACAUGCUGACACACAGAAAUUGGAAUCAAAUAAGAUCACGAUGCAUAGCCAUCUUUGGGGGUCUGAAGUCUUAUAAGGGAGAUAUAUUCAUUAGAGCUGGAAAACAACCAGCAGGCCAAACCCAGAUUUUUAAGUCCGGACAUGAGGUUUGACUAUUAAGUAUGAAUCAUAGUUCUAAUAGUAAUCUAUUUCAUAUAUUACGUUCUCCAGAUACUAGAAUGAAUUUCCGACGAAGUAAAACCAUCUCUAUCAAGAUGACAGAUCCAUUCUCUGUACUAUCCAUAGGAUCAUUUAUACCAAGUCACACUCAUUAAAAUGGCCGUGAUCUGUCAUUACGUGCGCGACUAUCUCCAUUAUAGAAAUAAAAAAAGGAAAAGAAGGAACAAAUUCGUUAAUAAAUACUAGAAACAAAGCGUAGGCUUUCUACAUAUGUAUCGUUCAAAAACAACGAUUUUUUAUCAGCUGUAGCAAAGAAAUAAACUUCAUAAAAGUCGACAUAUGAAGAAAUAGGUAUGCCUAGAUACUUUAUUAUUCUAUGGAUAAAGGAUCUAAUUGAUAGAGAAGAAGCUCCGUAAAGAUCAAUUCGCGAGGUUUUGGUCCGAUACAAUAAGAACUGCUUGCUUAUGUCAUGAUCUGAGAUAAAAGUUAGGAAUCCACUUAUGUAAUAGAGUUGAUACCCUAAGGUAUUGAGCAACGAUGUAGCCUCAGAACCCAAAGAUAGUAAGUCUUUUCCUUCUUAUGAGGGAAGGUCUUUUUCAAAGAUUCUAUAUCAAUUUAUAUAUGAAACCGAGAUAGUUACCUUUCAAAAAAAAUUAGAAUGAUAGUGAAACGUAGAAAAAGCAUAACACGAGUUAUUUGGCAUAUUUUGAUCUCCUAUAUAUCCACUUCAUGUGGUACUCAUGGUAUAAAAUAUUGAUGAUAUCGGAAAUAUCGGUAGUCCA
rnacentral:lncRNA from 1 species